rnacentral:lncRNA from 1 species
AUCAAUGUUCACACGUCACAGAGAAUUGUUGUCCUGCCAUUUUCAGUAAUAUAAUCUUAUCUAUUGCUACUAUGCACCAUAAAUCUUUACAUGGGCACUUCAGUACUUGUGUAAUAACUAACGUCUUUUGAUCCACCAUUUCUUCACAGAAUCAGCUGAUAUAAAAGAUUGAGUUAUUUUAUUUAACAAGGAUAGACUUACAAAUGUUCAAGAGUUCUCUCUCCCUCUAUGUGUGUGUGUGUCCCCAGAGGUGGGUCAGGGGUGUGGAGAAGUGAUUUCAAGGAAUAGUUUAAACAAUAAGAUAUUCAUGGUUGAUAGUUUUAGGCGGUGAAACUGCUGCCUCCCCAGAAAGACCAAUAUUUCAUCAGUAAUAUCGCAGUCGAAUGAAUUGAUUGUUCAACCAAUUAUCCAUUUCUCGUCGAGCUGUGCAAAAUUCUAAGUAACAGUUGUCGUAAAGAAUUUGCUGUUUAAACUAGGUCUUUUGUGUUCUAAUUAUUUUAUGUGAAGGUUUCCUAUUUCAAAAUCUAUCUUUCUGACCAUAAUAUCUCUGCUAUGCAGGACUGGUAUUGUUCUUGAAAAUGAGCAAAGUGAGAUCUGAAAGGGCUUCAUCAGAAAUGUGGAAGGUACUAACUCAUCUUUCCUCGGUGCAUCUCUAGCAUUUUCUGUAUGUCGAUUGGAAUUGUUAUUUGCAGACUGCAGAAAACUUCUGUGGCAUGUCAUAUCAUGUCAUACUGAGAUCUUUUACAAUUCUAGUCUUAAGAAUUGAGCUUGAAUAAAGUGCACUUUUCUUUCUCUUCUUUUCUUCCUUGUUAAAAUUCAGCUCUCAUGACACAGAUUGUGAUAGAUUAUUUUAUUGUGAAGUUUGAUUUUUUAUUAUAUGUUUGUCCAAUGAAGGUUGCAGGCUUGGCAGUUGUUUCUGUUCUAUGUUUCACUUUAAGUGAGCUGUCGCCUUAUUCACAGAUAUACCCGUAUGUCUUCUGCUGGUCUCAUGAGAUGUCUUUUGUUUUGACUGCAUAAGUUUCUAAGAGAUUAUGCUUUUAAUGCAGCUUCUUUUCAACUGGCGUGGACAGAAGAUAAAUGGUGUUUGUACAUCUCUUCUCAUGGUUUUAUAUUAUUUUAUAGGUACCCUUUAAAACUUGUGUUCCUUACUGAAAGCUUGAUUUUAAAUUCUAGACUUCAGUGGGAACUUCUGCUUUCUGCCUGCUAAUUGUUGUUACCAAUUGUUGAAGCUAUGAGAUUCUCCUCAAGCCCAACCCCUUAUACCUAGGAGCUACUAACUGUAGUUAAUUAGAUGAAAAAGGCUGAACAUGGUGGAAGGAACCAAUUUAAUAAUCAGAGGUUGCUCUGAUGAUGUUACAUAAGUGCAUUAAUAUCGUAAACAUUUUGAGGAGUUGUGAGAUGUCUCUCUGGAUCCUUUUUACAGAAGUUGGGAGCUAUAGAGUAAGGACUUAACAUAAGAGCUAGAUUGGGACAUAUUAGAUAUUUCUUUAGAAUUCGGGGCAUGACUGAGAGGGGACUCCAGUUAAUUUGUUCAACCAAGAAUGCAAGUAGCGUGUACGUGUUUUGUUGGGGGGAGCUGAUCUUACAAUGCAGUUCUUUCCUACAAAUUAGAAUUUUAUUCACAAAAAAAAGGGGGAAAACUUUCUAAUACUCUGUACCUGAUCAAAAUAUUUUCCAGGUUCUUCUAUACCUUCAGCAUUUGUGCUAUGGCUGAUGAGAGAACUACCACCUCCACUUGCAUUUCAGUCAACAGGAGUCGAGUACAAUAGCUUUUAUAAGUAACAGUUCAGCAACAGUACAGCCUCAGCGAUGGACAGCUGCUGCAAGUGUGCAAAAUCAGGUUACUUGCCUUCUUUUGACUCUAUUGCACACCUUGUUUACUGAUUGGUUUCUAGUCAUGUGCAUCAUGAUCUUGGCUAGGGAAUAUGUAGAAAAUGCAUGUUCUUUCAUAAGGGCUAUUCACUGAUCAAAUGAAAUGGGAAAAAGUUGAAGACAAAGAACACAAAUUAUUUAUCUCCUCGCACAUUACACUAGGGACGGGAAAUCAUGGUAGGUGAAGCUAUGUGUGUGAGAAUCAUUUUAGCUGUCCAUUAAAUUUUUCGUAAGAUCCACAAACUCGCCAGAAUUGCAGCUUAGCAGUUGAAAGACAACUUAUACAAACAUUGUUUUUUACCUUUCACCGAACAUCAAAACCCAAAAGAGAAUAUGGAAGGAAGUGCAGAAUCAAUGAAGAACUCAACUUUCUGCACUGGAGGUCUUUCCACUCAUUUAUUGAUUUUCAUUAUAUUACAUUCGUUGGAUUUACAAACUUGUACCAAUGUGUUCUGAGCAUUGUGGAUGCAGGUCUCAAGGGCGAGCCCCAUAUGAUCAUCUGAUGGAAUUGUACAUUGAUUGGUGAUUUUCAGCUAGAAACGAGGGAUUGACAAUACUAAAAAUGAGACAACUUCUCAGUUGAGUGGUUGGUGUUGUGGUUGAGUGAUCGAAGAAAGCUCAACUCAACGGGAAAAUAAUACCCCAUGUAUCUAAGCAAGGUGGGUUGCUCAGGGUAUACAUGCCUGCAUAACUUGGAUUUCUGUAUAUAUCAAACAUUGCAAUGAACUUUCCAAAUUUUACAGAUUCUUUUUUGUUGAUAUAAUGAGGUUUUAGAUUUUUCUUGCCUAACAAAACUUUUCGUCUGAUUAUCUUACAUAUAUCAUUGCCUUAAAAUGGAUGGGAAAAAGGAUAAAUAUAUUUUGAAUUAUCGAAAAUGGUAUGUUUAUACCUUCUUUAUAAUUUUGGUACAUCAAUGUCCUUAUAUCUAAAUUUUAGCAUGUAUAUACUCUUCAUACUUACGGUGGUACAUGUGUCUAAAUUUUAUCUAUUGAUUCGAAAUUUAUUAAUUUCUACCAAAAGUUAAAAGAUCCACCCGAAUUAAUUAAAAAACUCACCCAAAAACCCCAUAUCAAUUCACUGUCAAAACCCUAAUUUCUUCUCCAUCUUCUCUAAUCUUUAGUGUAAUAGAGAAUAAAUUCAAAUGAAAUAGAAAUCUUUCAGCAGAAAAUAGCAAAACGAUAUUUGGUAACAAAUGCUUUUACUUGGAGUGAAGAAAUAUCAUAGACAACUAAAUUUUAGAUUUUCGCUAGACAAUUGAGCGUCUCUUUUCCUCAAAAUUCUGAGUCAACUUUACCAGUUAGAACAGAGGCGCAAACAAGCUUUGAUUUUAAAGUGUUGUCAUGAUAUUUUAAUUAUAAUUCCAUGAAGACAUAAGUUGCAUAUGCAAAUAGGCUCCUUCUUAACAUAUCCAAGAUAGAACUUAUUUUUAAGAGUUUUAAAUAAGAUACCAUAUUGAUGUUACAAUUCCAUAUGUUAGUUAACUACAGUGACACAGUUGGUUAGAUUCUGUUUUUAGCUUAAAAGUUCAAGUUAGUUCAAUUCAAUCACUAUAUAACUUGUAAUCAACUCAUUGUACAAGAGGUUUGAAAUAUACAGACUUCUCUUUCUCUUUCUAAUAUCUCUCAUUCUAUUCUUCUUCUUCUUUCAUUGUGAGCUGUUUUCUCGAGAAAUUCUAAAAUAGUGCUUCGAGUUUAUUUUGAAUUCUUGCAAUCGAGUAACACAUAUAUCAAAUACAUCAAGUUAACCUAAUUCGACAAACAUAUGAGAAGAUAAUCUAAUUCGACAAACAUCAGAGAAGAAACUAGGUUUGGGGAGUGAAUUGAUUUGGUUGAUUUUGAGUUCUAUUUUUGGGGUGCAUGUUGUGUAUUUGGGUGGGUUUUUAAAAUUAAGUUAGGUGGGUCUUUUUAUUUUUGACAAAAAAAUUAAUUUAGACACAUGUACCACUGUUAGUACAAAGGAUAUAUACACGCUAAAAUUUGGACGAGGACAUUGAUAUAUCAAAAAUAUAACGAAUAAUAUAUGCAUAUUAUUUACGAUAGUUGAAAUAUAUCUAAAUUUUUUUCCAAAAAUGGGAUAUAAUGCAAUUUGUGCGCUAGAGAAUAAUUAGCAUUAGUCAGCAUUUAAAAGGACAAUAUUCAUAUUACCCUACUAAGAACUAAUUUAUUUCGGAAGAACUAACUAGCCCUGGAUUCUAGUGGCAUUUCGAUCGUCGAUUCUUCAACAUCGGUCGAUUUUACCAACUCUUUUUGAAACAUUUUUUUCGUCCCUUGUUUAAAUUUCUCUGAGUAUUGUAGAAUUUUAUUUAUUUCUUUUUUUUUUUUAAUCUCAAGUGACUUACCUAUAAUUUGGUGUUAUGUGAUUCUAUUUACGAUUAUAGUCCUUUGAUGAUGUUGUAAUAUUACCGUUAUUUAUUUUUUUUAAGUGCAUGAAUUGAGUAAUUGGUAGAGUAAAUUCUGCAUUUUGGAUAACUCAAAAAUUAGUAGUAUAAAAAUAAACAAUUUAUUUACAAUCAGCAUUAGGAAGACCCAUAAUUUGUCUUUUAUUUGCAAGCGUCGAAACGACACGAGCUGAAUAGUACAAUAUGAUGUAUGUUUUGGGUAUAUAGCAAGAAUUGAUGGAAAAGAGAGAGAAAGGGUUGAUGGGAAAGAGAGGAAUUUGAAAAGUUGAGAAUUUGAAGAGUUGGAACUUGAAAAGUCCUCUUAUACUUUAAUGAAAAUGUAUUUGUCCCUCAUCGUGGUGGAAAGAAAAAUAGGAAAGUUUAAAUAUAGAAACACUCCUAUUAAUUAUUAAAAGGAUUGGAAAGAGGGACCCCCUCGUCUCAAUUUCGGCAAAUGAUCGAGAGAUUAUUGUUUGGAUAAAGUUUGUUUUAUUUAUUUAUUUAAUUAAUUAAAUGACCAAAAAGUAUUUUCAGUUAAUUAGUUGAUAACAGAAACACUUUCAGUUAUUUAGUUGAAAAUUAACUGAAACAUUUCAUCUUAUUAUGCGAUCUGACUGGGAUCCACGCGCGACCCGUUUUAUUUCAACUUUUUCGUUUUAUUUAAAUUUCCCGCCAUGACUUUUCUAAAAGGUUGCAACUUUCAGGAACAGUCAGCACCAUUUGAAAGGUUGCAAACUUUCAUUAAUGGUCGUGUGAAUUCUGAAAGGGUUGCAACCUUUUGGAACCUGUUGUUCUUGCCUAUAAAUACCACUCAUUCUUCAGAAUAUUACCUUACUAAUUUUCUGAGUUUCUUCUUCUUCUUCUGCACUAAAAUUUUCUUAGUGUACUUUCCUGUUGUUGAUUGGUUCGCUGACACCAGUGUUUUUGGUAUCUAUACUCUAGUGAUUGAGAUCAUUUUACCCUGUGAGGUCAUAUUCCAAAUCAAAUCUCGAAUACUAGAGGAGAAUAAUUUCCUUAAGAGGACACUGUGAGUUCAGUGGACUUGAUCUUUUUCCUAUUCAAAAUGUUCUGGUACGUGUUUUUACAGAUUUUAAUUUAUUCAUUAAUUGAUUUCUGUUCAUCUGUUGUAUUGAUUCUGAAAACUUUAGUUACUUCGUGUUUCUGCAAAGUUUUAUCAGAAUUAGUAAUUCUGUUUUUUCAAACACAGAUUGGCAAGGAAGUCUGCCUCUUUCCGUGCUUCAAUAAUAAUGAAUUUUUCUCUGUCCAGCAUAUCAUCAGCAGGCACUGGAGUUUCUUUACUUGUAAAUUUCUGCAAACCAAAAGUGGUAAGCCAGAAAUAUAUUCGUUGCUGCCAUCUUUUAAAAUUCGCACCAGUGAAUUUACCCGGUUGUUCUGCUUGUGGUACAACAGUUCGAAUUGGUGCAGCAACAGCCACUGUAACACCGUUAUUUGUCAUUUUUGAUAAACAAAAAGUGAUACAGUCUUAGUAAGCAAUAACUUAUAAUUGCAGACUUGAAAGAGUAAAAAAUCACGAAGAUUUUUCUCUCCACCAGAAACACAUAUUAAUAUAUAAUAAAAUAAUUUUCUUAAUAAUGUUGAAAAUGACAUCCAACAAGGUGUUUACUUUGAAUAAUGUUCUGCAUAUCCCUAAUAUUAGGAAGACUUUAGUUUCUGCUGCACUAGUCCUAGUUAAUGAUAAAGUUGUAAAUAAGUAAGAAUGAAAUAUUUAUAGGAAAGGGCUACUUCAAUGAGGAUCUUUUCAAACUAAAUGUAAUGGUUGUUGACAGUAUAAAUAAAAAUUCUGCUUCUGUUUACUUAUUGGAGUUCAAAUUAAUUUUGGCAUGCACGUUUGAGAAAUGUAAAUUACAAAGCCUUGCGAAAAUUGGUUACUCUAGAAAUAUUGCCUGAUUUUAAAUGCAAUAAAUCAAAAUGCGAAAUUUGUGUGGAAAGUAGUUGUUAAACAUCUUAAUAAGUCUGUUUAAAGGAAUUCCAAAACUUUAGACUUAAUUCACACAGAUAUAUGCGAUAUGAAGUCAACACCAUCUCGUGGUGGGAAAAAGUAUUUUAUAACUUUUAUUGACGACUGCUCUCGAUUUUGUUAUGUAUAUUUGCUUAAUAGUUAGAAUGAAGCAAUUGAUGCAUUUGAGCAAUACAAAAAUGAAGUGGAGAACCAAUUGAAUCUAAAGAUAAAAAUGAUUCGGAGUGAUAGGGGUGGAGAAUAUGAAACUCCUUUUGCAGAGAUAUGUUUGGAAUAUGGUAUUAUUCAACAAACUAUUGCACCUUAUACACCUCAGUCAAAUGGUUUGGCGGAACAGGAGAACAGAACAUUAAAGGAAAUGAUGAAUGCAUUGAUAAUAAAUUCUGGUUCACCACGAAACCUUUGGGAGGUAGCCAUCCUUACAACUAAUAAGAUACUCAAUAGGAUACCUCAUUGAAAAACACAAUCAAUUUCAUAUGAUUUGUGGAAAGGAAGGAAACUCAACUUGAAAUAUUUCAAAGUGUGGGAAUGUUUAGCCAAAGUAGAGGUUCCUUUACCAAAAAGGGUUAAAAUUGAACCUAAAAUAGUAGACUAUGUAUUUAUUGGAUAUGUUGUGAACAGUAAGAAUUGUCGGUUUUUGAUUCACAAAUCUGAUAAUCCCAAGAUUCAUGUUAAUAUGAUAAUUGAGUCAGAUAAUGCAGAGUUUUUUUGAAAACAUUUAUCCAUAUAAAAUUGAAUGUGAGUCGACAAGUGAAAGACUUGAACGACCACGAGAAGAAUCAAUGAAAAAUAUUCUAACUAAUGAGGAACCUAGGCGUAGUACUCACCAACGAAAACCUGCUUCUUUCGGACCAAAUUUUGUAGCACUAUUGCUUGAAAAUGAGCCUCAAAUAUUUAAAGCAGCUAUGUCUUCGUCUGAGUCAACUUAUUGAAAAGAAGCAGUCAAUAGUGAGAUCGAAUCAAUUUUAAGCAAUCACACUUGGAAAUUCGCUGAUCUUCCUCCAGGAAAUAAACCUUUAGGAUCAAAGUGGAUCUUUAAAAGAAAAUGAAACCUGAUGGGACUAUUGACAAAUACAAUGCUAGACUGAUUGUCAAAGGGUAUAGACAAUAGGAAGGUCUGGACUUUUUUGACACAUACUCUCUAGUAACAAGGAUAACAUCAGUUAGGAUGUUAAUAGCACUAGCAGCAGUGCAUGAUCUUAAAAUUUACCAAAUGAAUGUAAAUACAACCUUCUUAAAUGGAGAGUUGGAGGAAGAAAUUUACAUAGAACAACCUGAAGGGUUUAUAGUUUCUGGUAAAGAAAAGAAAGUAUGCAUACUUGUGAAUUCACUUUAUGGACUCAAGCAAGCACCCAACUAAUGUCAUGUUAAAUUUGACCAAACAACGUUGACAAAUGGAUACAAGAUUCACGAAUGUGAUAAAUGUGUUUACAUUAAAAAUGUUAUGAAUCAUGAAGUCAUUGUUUGUUUGUAUGUUGAUGACAUGUUAAUAAUGAGUAAAGACAUUGACGAUAUAAAUGCUACAAGCACAUGCUGUCCAACAAGUUCGAUAUAAAGGACUUAGGAGUUGCUGAUUUGGUCGGGGUCAGGAUUAUCAAAACUCCCCAGAGACUAGCAUUAUCUCAAUCUCAUUAUAUUGAAAAAGUAUUGGAUAAGUUCAAGUACUUGAAUUUCAAAGUUAUCAAAACUCCAAUUGAUUUAAGCUGUACAUUUAAAAAGAAUGAAGGUCAAAGUGACUCUUAAUUGGAAUAUUUGAGAGUGUUGGGAAGUUUGAUAUAUAUUAUGAAUUGUACGCGACCAGAUAUAGCAUGUGCUAUUAGUAAACUGAGUCGGUACACUAGUAAUCCGAAUCAAACUCACUGGAUGACAAUGAAACGUUUGUUAGGUUAUCUAAAAUAUAUACAACAUUAUGUUUUGCAUUAUAAUAAAUAUCCUGGUGUGAUUGAAGGAUAUAGUGAUGCAAACUGAAUCACCGGGUCAAAUGAUGUAAAAUUCACGAGUAGUUAUGCGUCAUACUUGGUGGAGAAGCAGUCUUUUGGAAAUCGUCCAAACAGACAUGUAUUGCUCGCUCCACUGGAAUCUAAAUUCAUUGCUUUGGAUAAGGUUAGUGAAGAAGCUGAAUGGCUCCAAAAUUUCCUAGAGAAUAUUUCAUUCUGGCCCAAACAUGUUGGACCUAUUUGCAUACAUUGCGAUAGUCAAGCAACAAUAGGUAGGGGAGGGAACGUUAUGUACAACGGAAGGUCUCGUUAUAUAUGACAGAGACAUAACACCGUAAGAUAAAUGCUCUCUAGUGAAAUUAUCACAAUUAACUAUGUAAAGUCAAGCGAUAAUGUGUCAGAUCCACUAAAAAAAGGCCUAGUGAGAGAGGCAGUUGAAAGAUCAUCUAAGGGAAUGGGUUUACGGCUUAGGACAAGUCAGUACGACGGUAACUCUAUUUAGCAGACUGGAGUUCCAAGAGCUAGAUUCAAGGAAAAAAAUAAAGUUGUGGCUGACGGUUCAACAUUGUCAAUUAACUCAAUCCAUUCUCAUGAUGAAGACAAUGUUUAAGAACAAGGUUAAGACUUUAAGGCUUGUUAAUGAGGUAAUAAAGCUUAAAGUUUUUAAUGAUUCGCUAAGUUUGAUAAAUUUGACCAAAUAGUAUAUCUACGAGAUGACACGGUUAGAAAUCACUUAUGUGAGUGUGAAGUGGAAGCCGCUUCAAAGAGAAUUUUAUGUCAAAAGCCUAUUCUCUGUAUACUCAUGAAACCAGAAGGUGUUCAUGGCUGUAACAAACACAACUGUAACAACCAUAAACAGUAAAGAGUUAAUUGUGUGAAAUAUGGUUGUCUAGGUAUACCAAAGCUCGACAAUUUAAAGAUAUCACAUCUACCGAUUGACCGAUUAUAUCCAACAUAUGUUCACCACGGAAAGUCCAAGGGGAAACCUACUUAUCCAGAUGCAAUUAAUCCUUGUCUGUAAAGUACACAAUUGUCCGUGCAUUCCUAUGUUAUAAUCAUUUCCCAUCAAUGUGGGGGAUUGUUGGGUAUGUAGCAAGAAUUGACGGGAAAUAGAGGGAAAGAGUUGAUGAGAAAUUGAGGGAAAGAGAGGAAUUUGAAAAGUAGAGAACUUGAAGAGUUGGGAACUUGAAAAGUCUUCUUAUGCUUUAAUGAAAAGACAUUUGUCCCUCAUCGUUAGUGGAAAGAAAAAUAGGAGAGUUUAAAUACAGAAACACUCUUAUUAAUUGUUAAAAGGGUUGGAAAGAGGGAUCCCCUCGCGCUGUCGUCGUCACUCGCUCGUCUCGACUUCGGCUUCGGCAAAUGAUCGAUCGAGAGAUUAUUUUUUGGAUAAAGUUUGUUUUAUUUAUUUAUUUAAUUAAUUAAAUGGCGAAAAAGUAUUUUUUUCAAUUAAUUAGUUGAUAACAGAAACAUUUUCAGUUAUUUAGUUGAAAAUUAACUGAAACGUUUGAUCUUAUUAUCUGAUCCGAUUGGGAUCCAUGCGCUACCCGUUUUAUUUCAACUUUUCCGUUUUAUUUCAAUUUCCCGCUAUGACUGUUCUGAAAAGUCGCAACUUUCAGGACAGUCAGCACCAUUUGAAAGGUUGCAAACUUUCAUUAAUGGUCGUGUGAAUUCUAAAAGGGUUGCAACCUUUUGGAACCUGUUCUUCUUGCCUAUAAAUACCACCCAUUCUUCAGAAUAUUACCUUACUAAUUUUCUGAGUUUCUUCUUCUUCUUCUGUACUAAAAUUUUCUUAGUGUACUUUCCUGCUGUUGAUUGGUUCGCUGACACCAGGGCUUUUGGUAUCUAUACUUUGGUGAUUGAGAUUAUUUUACCCUGUGAGGUCAUGUUCCAAAUCAAACCUCGGAUACUAGAGGGGAAUAAUUUCCUUAAGAGGACAUUGUGAGUUCAGUGAACUUGAUCUUUUUCCUAUUCAAAAUUUUCUGGUACGUGUUUUUACAGAUUUUAAUUUAUUCAUUAAUUGAUUUUUGUUCAUCUUUUGUAUUGAUUCUGAAAACAUUAGUUACUUUGUGUUUCUGCAAAGUUUUAUCAGAAUUAGUAAUUCUGUUUUUCAAACACAAAUUGACAACAAUAUACACUCAAUUCCCAACUUUUGGAUAUAUGCUGCAGUUAUUUAACAUGAAAAAAUUUCCAACUGUAUUAUUAAAUAGAACAUGUAACUAACAAAAAAAUGAAAAUUUUAACAUUAUUCACCUCGGAGAUUUUGGAAUUACGAUGAUUUAAACUUAAUAAGUGUGUAUUUUUUGAACUAUGAUAAUUUAGAUUUGAUCUGUUUUAUGAAUAUUUCAUGAAUUUGAAAUAUUAAUUGGUAUUUUGAUCUCUUGAUGAAUAAUAUUUCGUGAAUUUGUGGAAUAUUUAUGAUUUUGGUCUCUUUAAUGAAUAUUCAAUGAAUUUGUGGUGAAAGUUUCUAGAUUCUAAUCUCUUUUGUGGUGAAACUUUUAAAAUUUUGAUCUGUUUAUGAAUAUUUCAUGAAUUUGUGGUGGAUUUUUUUAAAUUUUGAUCUCUUUAAUGAAUUUUGCAUAAAUUUGUGUUAGAAUAUUGGAGAUGUGUUUUCAAGGAAACAUAAUAGCCUUUAUAUAAGGAUGGACUAUUAGAAUAUUCGAUAUGUUUUUCUAAGGAAAUGUAGUAGUCUUUAUAUAAGGAUGGACUAUGGUUUAGAGUGUGUUUGGUAUGAAUGAAAAUAUUGUUUUUCAAUUUUUUCAUGUUUGAUUGGGACAAAAGUUUUGGAAAAUAUUUUCCAAAUCAACUCAUUUUCCUCAAAAUUAAGGAAAAUGACUUCCCUUCAAAAAUUAAGGAAAACAUUUUUCAAAACUCUCCUCCAAUUUCAAAUUACAUUUUUUUCGAAAAACAUCAAUUUUAAAAAAAUAUUUUCAAUUUUAAUAUUUUAUUUUUUCACCCGAUCCCCGACCCCCACCCACCCACCACGGCCAGCCCCCCAAACCCCACCCCCUCCCCAAAAAAUUAAUUUUGCUUUUUAAAAAUAUUUUCAAUUCCAAAUUUUUAUUUUUAAAAUCCUACCCCCCAUCCGGCCAGCCCCCACCCACCCCCAACCCCCCAAAAAAUAAUUUCAUACAUAAAUCAAACAUACGUAAAAUAUUUUUCCUUCACCAACCAAACAUGAGAAAAUAAGUCCAAAAUUUACUUGUUUUCCAGAAAAACAUAUUCUAGAAAAAUAUUUUUCAUGCAAACAUUUUCUUUCGUACCAAACACACCCUUAGAGUUGAGUCCCCUUCAAGAAUCCUAAUUAGAAUCGAACAUACUUGAACAAAAUACGUGUUCUAGUGUUGGAGCGACCCACGAAAUUUCAAUUUGUACACAUAUGUUCAAUCCAAAUUCAAAAUAUUUCAUGAGUCAGUCCAACAACAACAAAUGACAUCUUAUUUUGUUCUCAAUCUUCCUAGGUGUUUGAAGACGAGUGGAACAACACAUUUCAUCUUUAAUCACGAAAUAUACUACUUGAAACCAGACGAAACUUUCAUCAUAUUAUCAAAAAUUAUAAUCAAACACACUUGAAUCAAAUACGUGUUCUAGUGUUGGAGCGUCCCACAUAAUUUCAAUUUUUACACAUAUGUCCAAUGUUUGACCGACAUGAAUUGUGUUGGAGUGAUGAGACUCUCCACUUUUCAUAGAUAUUAAGUAGGCUUUUGGCCAUGCAUGAUAUGGUAUUGUGAAACGAAAUCAACAUUUUGACAUAAUUUUACGCUAAUUUCAUCUCAUGAAAUAUCAUAUUCUUCAAAAAUCAUGAUAUUGAAAUUUCAUAUCAUGGUUUAAGAUUUUUUGAAUACAAAAGUUGAUCCAUAAAUUUAUAUUUUGUUAAAACAACCUCACACUAAAUUUAGUGAACAUUUAUUUCAUAUGUAAUAAAAUUAAUAAUCACAUCAUUACUUUUUAAAAUUUUUAUUUUCACCAACAUAAUAUUUAUUAUUGCUUUCAAUUUGGUGAAUAUAAAUGAUAAAGUAAGAUUUGAUUGGUAAUAUAUGUUUGAUAAUCGCUAUUUCCAAUAUGUUUUGUUUUUAACACGAAAUUAAUGCACUGAAAUGUGUAAUUACACACAAGUGAAAUAAGACAUAAACCAUAUGAUAUUGACGCACAAGUGAAAAUCGACAUACCAUGUGCAAUGUUACAUAAUUAUUUGCAGGAAUACCAAAGGAAUGAUAAAACAUUUAUGAUAUAUGAGCAUGAAAAAUAGAGUUGCGAAUGAUAUUGAACAACAAAUGACUCAAAGUAACAAUGUCGGUUUAUCUUCUCGGUCAUAUGAUCAAGAAAUGCAAGUUAAACACGAGGAGAUUGUCGUACUACGUGAGAGAAUUAUAUGAAAAACUAGUACACUACAAUUUAUAUUUAGUUUAUUGUAUUGUAUUACUAUUAAAGUUUAAUCAGUUAAAAUUAGAUGAAACAAGUUACUUACGUGGAGAACAUAUAACUUUACAAUAAUUUAUUAUGCGAUCUUAAAAUUUUUAUUUAUUGGAUAUUGAAUAAACAAUUGAUGUCAUUUUAAUAGUUUUACACUAAUAAGAUUCUUAUGUUUAUGAGAAAAUAUAUAUACAAAAUUCGUAUGACUUAUCUAAACAAAACUUUAAUUUUAUCUCAUAAUAUUAUAUUGUAUGAUUAAACAAGCUAUAAAUUUAAACUCUUUUACUAAAAUAUACGUAAUUUAAAUUUAAUCAAAAUUUUAAUAUAGAACUAAAUAUUCAAAUGUCUGGUGAGUAAAACUACGGGUUUGUAUUUCUAUGAAAGAAGAAAGAAUUGUUGAAAGCCACCAGCGUGGCAUCAAGACAAAGGGACUCGUACUCGGUCCCCAAAAGGGCCAACUCAACUCUUGUCUACAGAGGGAGAGAGAGAGAAAAAGGGGUAUAAAGGGAGUGUUUGAGGUAAGAAUUCAGCGGCAGAUCUGCAGCAAAUUCAAAGAAAAAGAUACCAUCGAGGCUGCAUAAAGAGAAAAAAAAGUAAGGGGAAUUAGGAGAGUAUCGUUUUGGAUACCAUUUCAUUUUCUUUUUUACUUACUUCAAGACUUGUUUGUUGUAAGUGUUUUGGGUACAUAUAUAUACAUAUAUACAUAUAUAUAUAUAUAUAUAUAUAUAUAUAUAUAUAUAAGCUUAUCAUCAUAUUGUGUGUCCACGUUUUUUUCUCUGUAUUAGAGGGGAAAGGGCUAAGAAGGAUUGAGGCAGUGGAUGGUUUUUUAAAAGGUAAAGAAAAAGAGUGAGAAGAACAUGAUUGAGUGGAGAGAAGGGACUUGUUAUCCUAAGGCUUUAAUGGGAGUGAAUGUGGGUCUUGCUUCUGUCGAUGCCGUUAUUGCAGUUCUUGCUUUUGCUCAGGUACUCUUCUCUCCCCCCUGUUCUUCAUUGUUUCAGAGGGUGUUGUUAUAUAUGUGGAGUUUCUGCUAAAAAUUCUGUAUUGAUUAUUGGAAUUUUUUGUGUUGGGUGUUCGUUUCUUGUUCCCAAUUUGGGAUUUUGGGAAUGCAUUCCAAUUGGGAUUUUUGAAGGGUUUUAAUGGAUUCUGAAUGAUAAUCUUGUUUGUGAUGGGCAAUGGAAAGGUGCUGUUUCGGCUAGGUUUGUGAUAUUGAUUGAAAAAUUGAGUCCUUUUGCUAAAUUUUCUUCCUGUGGCUUAUUAGUUUCUGGUUUCUGUGUUGUCAAUUCCGUUAAUAUGCUUGAAUUCGAAGGAAUGUAAGUUCAUUUGUCACAAUGGGGUUAAGUUUUUUGCUUUCUAAUUUAUCAUGGGUUUAUACAGACGCAUUUUCUUGAGACAGUUUUCUGCCAUUGUCAUGCAUAGUUUAAUAUAAUAAGUAGUGUAUCUCUUUGACAAGUUCUGCUGAAUUUAGUAAUUUAAAGUUGCAAAGAUUCGAUUCGAAGAGACCAAAUGUAAUCUUGUUCUGAAUAUGGAUUUUCUGAAGCAGAAAGCUUAUUUUUCACGGGGACUUUGCCAUAGAUCACUUGCAUAGCGAUUUUUACUAUGAUUUCUCUUCCUCUUCUCUGGGAGGAGUAGGAUGCAGUUUUUCUGGGCCAAAUUGUGAUAUGUUUUGUCAUAUAGGGCUUGCAGCAACAUUUAGGGAGUUAUCGAGAAGUGAUUUUCACUGUUUUGAGGGACUUUACCAGUAUUAUGGCAUUUAUGGCCAAUAUGAUUACCCAUGGAGAUUGCAUUAAGUAUAUGAUUAUUAUCUCCACAUUCAAUAGAUUUUGCUGCAUUUGGUGAAAAUGGUUAGUUUCAUUGUUACAAUACCAUCUAAGAUACUAGCUAAAUGUGGAACUUUUGAAUCAUUGGUAUUCGUAUACCCGCUCUGCAUUUGUGUAGGUGAACAUGAUUUUUGAUGUCCUUGAGAAUGGGCUAAAAUUGGGAUUGUUCUUGAAGCAGACUACUGGGAUUCAACCAUGUGUUGUUUUUCUGUUAAUGCUUAUCAAAUACCAUAUUAGUCCUACGCUUGCAUAUUAUUUGAUUAAAAAUGGAAUAAAAAACAAUUUUAUCUGAAAUUAUAUUGUUAAAUGAUUCUCGGAGAAUCAAGAAGAUUGUGGGUACUAAUUUUAUUCAUGACAAAGAGAUCUUAUAUGUUUGAGCUUGGGACUUCCAUGUUGGAGGUCUCAAGUUCGAAACCCCUUGCCAGCGAAAGCAAGGGGUAUGCCUUCUGGGUCGAGAUCGCCUGGUGCGGGUUACCUCUCCUAUGUGGUUUGCGAGCUAUUGCAUAGGAGCGGGGUUUUACCCUGUGCGCACCCAAAAGGGUAGUAGCUGCGGGUUUCCCUUGUAGUAAAAAAAAAAAAGAAGAGAGAUCUUAUAUUUCAAUUUUGGACCAGAGAUGAUACGUGUAAAACUCUUCUUUCUCAUUGAGAGUGCAAGAUAUCAUUCCAAAGAAUAGUUUGAAAGCUAUUCAGAAAGUAGCCAAUUUUUUAGAGCUAAUGGCUCUUGUUUAAGGCAGGAGAGUACCUUGCUUUUCCUUUUGAGAUAUCCGGUACUCUAACAGAAUUUUGUGAUCCUUUUGUUCACUAUCCAAAUGCAGUUAAAGCAAAAACUUGGUACGUUGGGAUAACCUUUAAUUGAAAGCUAAUAUGGUGUAAGCAUAACUCAGGGUAUGGAUCUUUUUUUCCCAUCCAUGUUGUUGUCAAUGCUUCCUGAACUGCAAACCGAAUCUCCAAAUAUCUUCCUUACUCCUCCUCCUUUAGGCAUGACCUCUUUGAAGGUUUUUUUUUUCUUUUGAUGAAGUAAUUAGUUCUAUUGCAGGCAUCAAGUAGAUGCAUAAUAGUUAGAAAAGCUUAGUAGCAAAAGGUCAGCUCUCCUUUACAUUGUUAAUUGAGAAUCAGGGAGCGGACAUGGUUCAGAAAUCAGGGCAAUCUAGAGGGGAUAAAUAAACCCAACUAUACAAAAACAUGAGGCAGUUAGCUUUUAAAGAUUGGUAGGUAGUUGAUUCCAUCAAAGCAUCUUCUAUUCCUUUCGUUCCAGAUACUCCAAAAAAUGGCUGCAGGUAUCUUUGAAGGUUAACUGACGUACCCCACUUCAUAUCCCAAGAUCAUGGUGGAUGAUGGUUAACUGCAGUGAGGAAGCAUUCCCUUUUUCUAAUUAUUUUUUAAAAAGUCUACUUCUUAAGAAGAAAAAGACAUUGCAGACCUGUAUCAAAAUAUUUCAUCACUGCUUGGUGCAGCUUUCUGCGACUUAGGUUGCAACUUUCUCCAGUUCUUCUUCUUCAAGCUCCAGCUAUGCUGUGUUGCUGCUUCUUCUUCUUCUUCUUCUUAUUAUUAUUAUUAUUAUUACCAUGCUGCUAUGUUUUUUUUGCUGCUGCUUUCUUUUUUUCUCUUCUCUUGUUUCGGUCUUCUUCAGCUUUUAUAUUCUUUAUUUGUUUCUCUUUUUUUCUUCUUCAGUAUGUUAAUUUAUUUGGAUUUUGUUUAUUUGUUGUCUUCUUCUUUUUUUUUCUUUCAUGUGUUGCGUGUACUUCUUGUGUCUAAUUUUAAUUAUUUUAUUUCCAUUUUCUUCUCAUAUUCAUUUUAUUCUCUUCUUUUUCAGUAGCUUUUUUUGAAUUACAGUUGUUUUUUAAUUUUUUGUUCUCUUAACAGCAAUUUCAAAUGGUAUCAUCUGAGCAAAAUAGAGCCAUCAAUUUUUUCAAUGGCAUCAUCCAUUUAUGUUUUGUUUUUUAUUUUGCUUGUUCUAUCAAGCAUUUCUGGCUAUCAACUUUCUAGUUUUAAAAUUGAAAGAUUUGCUUCUAUAUAUUAUUUCUGUUGAUGUCUUUUUUGAUUUAGUUAUUUUACUCAUAUGUGCGAGGUUUAUUUUAUUUUUGAAAUGGUGCUUCACUUCAAUGAAGAGAGUGAAGGGAGCUUUUGUUGCUUUUUUGCGCUUCAUGCUCUCAAAAACACUGCCUCCCAGCAAACUACUCUAUAAUUAGUCCAAGGGGAGGGCUAGAUUGGUUUUCUUCUACAAGUAUAAGUGUCUUCUCCUCAUGUAUCUUGAUUGGUUCAAGAUGGAAAUCGUUAAGAGUCCCUUGAUUAUUUGUCCCACUUGAAUAAAGAAAUUGUUUCUUCGGCUUGGUAACUCUUAAAGGAGGUGUUUGACACAUCCCUCGGCAGAAGAUGUUACAUAUGCCUUGUUUUUGCAUUGCUCAGUUGCAGCCGAUAUAUGGAAGUAUAUUCCUGUCCUUUUGUCAUUCAAUGAGUUAUGCCUCAUGGUCAUAGCAUAAAAGCACAUACAUAAGUGGGGACAAUAGAAUGUAAGGGAACAAUUAAAAAGUUUUGACAGACUGUUCCAGCUUUUAUUUUAUUUUUUGGUGCCUAUGGCUGGAAAGAAAUAGCAGAAUAUGCUUCUCAAGGAGCCUCUUCUCCUAUUCAUGCUUUGAAGUAUGGAUGUCUUGGGAACAUUUUUUUCUGGAGUAACCAUUAUAUUCUGAAUAAUUUUGACCAGCUUUUACACUUUGUUAGCUCCUUAGGCGGCAUAAAGGAGGAUCACUGUUUAAUUUAGGUGCUUGCUUAAUAUGACUAGUUGCUAAGAUUGAAAACCAGAGAGGCAGGGGGUGGGGGUUGUGGGAGAGUUUGAUGUUGUCAAUGAGUUAUCAGCAUUCAACUACAAUCUAGGACCAUUGUGAAGAUGAGGAAUGAAUCGAGCAGAGUACUUUUUGACACCAACUGGGUGACUAACUGAAAAAGAGGAAACCUUAAUCUAGCUCAAUUCUAACCUUGGGAUACUGAAGCAAUCGAAUGGCUGCAAACCAGUUUGGUGCUUCUGUUUAGGUUGCUGCUCGUGCCUUCCGUGGUUGCAUAAUAUUGGUGCAACUCUAUUAGAGUAUAUUCUUGUGCUGUUAAUGACACUCACAUUUCCAGUGUGGUAGUGAUAAUUUCUGGUUAAAUAGAUUGUGCCAUCAUAUUUUUGUGCAACUAAACUUGCUUAUCUAUUUUUCCAGUUAAUGAGAAUUCACUCUCGGAAUACACACAAUGGCUGGACUCGUCAGAAAGUAAGUAUUUCAUCCUCGAUUCUCUUGCUGAUUUUAUUGGUAUCUGAGCUGGAUGAAAACAUUCUGUCCCUCCUACUUUAAAUUAAAGUACUUUCCCAAGGUUUAAGUAAUUAUUGAACAAUGUGAAAGCAGGCCAAUUUGCUGCCGACACUUUUUGCCUAGUUCCAAUUAUGAAUAGCAAAUAUACUAAUGAAGCAUGUUGCUAGAUGCUUAUAUGCGACCGACUUUCCCUUUGAUACCGAAAGUUACUGUGAUUUGGGUGUUGUUAAUUCUCUUUGGGAAUUGCACCGAGGGUGUGGCCUAACUGUCAAUGAAGAUGAAAACCAUGGAACAUAGAAGAGACAAAGACUCCUAAGUGAGUUCUUCCCAUUUGCCUAAGCCUCAGAGGGUAAAGUUACCCUGUAUUUGUGUUGGUGUGCGGUAGUCGAAGUGCUCGCAAACUGGUCUAAACACCACAAUUACAAUAAUAGUAGUUUUCUUCGGCAACUAAGACUUAGGUAUGCAUGUUCAUGUGUGUAAUCAUUUGUAUCUUUACAUUAACCAUAAGUGACAAGGAUAAAAUCGUGGAGGAGGUGUGCGUAUAGGGAGUAUAGUUUGAGUAAAUGACUGGUUAUGUGAGCUCUAUUACUGUUGGUACUUGGUAUUAUUUUAUUUUAUUUUUGCAUACUUAUUAGGAACACUUCCCUCAUCUGUUUUCCUUCCAGCCAAGCUCCUCACUUAUGUUGCCGGUUUACCUAUUAAGAGUGUAGAAGAGAGGAGAAUGUGAAAAGUCCCAGAACCCAUGUUGAUGAUAUUCAACUAAAUACUCUUGUCUAAACCAUUAGUAUUAUAAUGUUCAAAACGCGUGCCUAGCAUUUACGGUUCAGGUGACUUAUCAUCUCUUUUUAAUAAUAUUAGAUAAUUCAGGUGACAUAACAGUGGUCUUCAGAAGCGAAAAUAUACUUCAGAUUCCUUUACAGUUGUGGUAUUAAGUUGCUUCUUUCUCACUAUUGCCAUAGUAAUGAGUAACGAUCCUUAUCCUCCGUUUCUACAACUUGAUAACUAUUACCUAAAAUUUUCUUUUUUGAUAACCAUUGCCUAAAUUACUGUUCAUCAUGUAGGUUUUCAAAAUUUUAGUAUUCAUACCAGGUUAGUCUCCAAUUUUUUCCAUGUGAUCUAGUUGUACUCUCUUAAUGUAUCUCUCUUCCCCUCUCAGUCCUCUGAUGAGUACAAAUCCAAACUUCAGGAUAUUAAACCCAGCCUAAUUACUUGGCCAUUAUGGUAUUAGUGGUUCAUUUAUGCUCACAUCUAAAUUCUUUGGUGUUAGAGAUGAGGGGUGUCUAUGCUCAGUUCUUGGUGCAAGAUCAGUCUAUUGAUGAUUGACCAUGGAGGUUUUACGAGUGUGAUAAUGGUGAUAUUGAGCUCUGUAACAGUCAGGGUCAUAGUAGUGAUCGUCUUGUGGAGUUAACCGGUAAAUGCUGGCCACUGCUACGUUCUACCAUGUUAACUUCCAGCCAAGUGGUACAAUGUGUAGUGCAGAUUGGGUUGAAUAUUCUGGUGAUGUUACUUCUUCAAAAGAACACAAAUGCAUCUUUGAAUAGCUGAAAUUAGUGAAUAUCGAGGAGUCUUGUUCUGCAUGAAAUGAUCCAAGUAUGGUGCAACAAGACGCUUCUUCCACUCAUUUGAAGGCACUACCAAAAAACGAGAGUCAGUUUACCUCCUUGUUCUUCUAAUACCUGACUGUGAAGUGGCGCAUGCUUGAUAUACCAAUUGGAAACGAAACUGGGCUAAACUUGAUAAUAUCUACAUAGACUAGCUCCGUGUAAUAACAAAUAAAAGACUUCAUCAACUCUGAGGUAGCACUACAUCUCUUGGAGGAUAUACACAUAUAUUAGAAUUUGGAAAUAUAUUGCCUUAAUUAGUUUAGUUUACUGCUAUGAAGCGACAGUCAUCAAGAUUUUUCAAUGAUUCUUCUUCCUUUUGUCCUGGUUAGCCUUAAAAAAAAUUCUUUAGUAGAUUCAAUGAGGCUUCCUUCUUGUUCACUUAUGUGCUAAUUACAAAUCAUGCUUACUGGACUUCGCUAUGAAAUUGCAGGUAUUUCACUUGAUGAUUGGAUCUUCAAAUUUGGGUAAGCAUCUUAUUUUCUCUGUUGUAUCAUCAUUCUAUCUAUGGAUUAUUUUUCCCUGAGAUCUCCCCGGGAGCUCUUAUCAAAAGAAAAUAUUUGCACUCUUACUCAUAAUAUUGAGUUUCUUAAGCCAAUUGUUGAUGCAUAUUUUGUUUUGAAUGCACAUGGGAGAGAUUAAAUAAUGUGAAGCACAAAAUGAUAAGCAAUUUUAAGAGUUAAUGCAAUGAUAUGACUUAGAUUAAUUUGGAAAAUAUGAAGUUGGGCAAGAUUAAGUAAUAUGUCGCUUUUCUUUAUCAUUUAUGGGAAUACAAGCUUCCUGCAAACCUUUCAUCCAUAUGGGGUAACUGAGUUUUUUUUGAGAAAGGUAAAGUUAAUUCUAUAUAUCCACAUGUAUACUACAUCAAAGCGUAGUCACAAGGAACAAAUAUCAAGAAUAUUUGCUAGUUCUCUAUGUACAGAACUCAUGGGGUAACGGAGUUUUGUACAUAGAGAACUAGCAAAUAUUCUUGAUAUUUGUUCCUUGUGUAGCUUCUCACUAACAUUUGACUCAAUGGUGGAAGUGUUGAAAAGCAACAUGUUAUGCUUUAAUUAAACGUAAUUAAAAUGUGGGUUCUUCUGAAAAAUGUGCUGAUACGAAGUAAGAAGGAUUUUAAUCUAGUGCAAUCUAUAAAAAUAGAAGAAAGAAAUAUGUAUCCAGCACCAGAAAACAUAAUUAUGAACAAAAACAACUAACUCAGACAAAUGAGUUGGUAGAUACACAACUAGAUGAGAUAUUUAGAGGUAAGACGAUGUAAAUUAAGUUCAAAGAUCAUGCCAGUUUUCUAAUUUAGAUGCAAAUUUGCUGCUUUAAGUUUCUGCUGCACUGCAUUCUAACUUCUAUUCCUAAUAGUAACAAUUCAUUUGUUUUGUUCUUUGUAACAAAGUAAGAUAUUAACAUGCAGGCUGCGUUUCAGCCCAGUAUUAAAAUGAGUUGAACAAAGCGGGUCAAAAUGAGCCCGCUUAAUAAAAUAAGUGGGUUAUUAAUCUGUCCGAAUCUAAACAGGCUGGGUGGGUUAUGAUUUUGGGCUGAUUUUAUAGUAUCUUGUUUUCAAAGUAAACAAGCUCAGUUAUUUACCUCAUUGAGUUUGAGAUGACGUGUUAAAGUAUCAUUACUAUUAUUAUCAUAUUCUUCAAUUAGAUCACUGGUGUUGUUUCUUUUACUUGGGUUAUCUUCACUAUUUUUGUUUUCAGUACUACUCUUUUCUACAAUAUUUUUACAAUAGCUUUUACUCUUGUAUAUGCCAAACCUGUUUUCGAAAAUGUUUUUCUUGAUCCGAGGGUCUAUCAGGAACCUCUCUACAAGGUUGGGGUAAGGUCUGUGUACACCCCAACCUUCCCAGACCCCACUAGGUAUGUCAUUGUAGAAGAUCUAGCUUCUCGUUUGGUAGAAAUUAAGGGCACAAAGUGUAUAAGCUAAUUUGGACAUGGAACUUUGAUAAACCACCUGUGCUCGUGUAUACAAUUAUCUUUAAUACCUUACCUUUAUCUUUUAUUUUUUGCUUUCUAUGCAUUUCAUAAUGAUAAAGUAAGUUACUGUCCAGCAAGUGAUCUGUUUGAAUUUAGUUGCAUUUCAUAAUGAAUUUAAUUCUCCUGCAGGUUAUUUCCUUUAUUUUAUUUUGACAAUUGUUGCCGCAUGUAAUGGUUGGAUUUUCUGGUCGCACUCCUGUGGCUUUGUCGUUAUGGGUAUGUGCAAACCCGCCGUUCUUUUUCAACUGAGGCUAUUUUAACUAAGACUUAUGAAAACUAUUUUGCAGCUUUCCCCAAAAUUCUUUUCCUUGCGGCAUUUCUUCUUCUCCUUUCUUUCUGGUAAGUUCGCCUUCUGUUUUCUAUAUCCUUUAACGAGUGAAAAUUAUUGUUGUGAAUUUAACGAUUUACCUUCUUUUUAUAAUUCUAAUUUUGAGGAAAAGAAACUAAUUUAUGAGGGAAAUUCAGUAUCAUGAUCUUCCUAUUUUUUCUCAGUCAUCUUCAUUCCAGAAAAUAAUCUUGGGGCAGAGAAGCAGUACCUGUUGCUUUAAUCAGUAAGCUGACAAAACCAGCAGUUUGCGAGACACCAAAUAAUGAUCCUCUUUUGGUGAAUAGCAGUUACUUGCUAAAGUUGCGUGACUUCACUUUCAAUGCCACACCCGUGUCGGAUUCUCCAAAAAUCCACUACUUUUGGAGAAUCCGACAUGCACCCAUUGUCAUUUAUGAAGAGUCUGAGCAACAUAGGUUACUUGAGCCUAGUGCUGUUUGUAGAUUAUAGAUACUUCUGCUCUACACCAACAAAGUUGUCACUUGUCAUGUAUCUCUUUUUUUUAAUAUCCGAUCAGUGGUGCAACAUUCAGUGCUUGGUUGAUAAUGGGCACACUCCUUUAUACUUUCUCCACUUAAACAACAACAACAACAAACCCUGUGUGAUCCCACAAGUGGGGUCUGGGAAGGGUGGGGUAUACCGUAUACGCAGACCUUACCUUACCUUUAUGGUGGGGUAAAGUUGUUUUCGAUAGACUCUCGGCUCAAAAAUGGGAAAGAGUGUUUUACAAAACAGGUUUGAAAAAUACAAGAGUAGGAGAACUAUGAUGCAACUAUCAAAGAAAAGAAAAAUAUCGACAACAAAAUAGAAAAGAUAAGCAAAGUAAAAGAAAUAACAGUAGUUCUAAAUCUUAAAGAAAAAGGUAACGAUACAACAAGAAUUAUAGUACUGAUAAGUAUAAGAAGGAGAAAAUAAUGAACUUCUCCACUUACAUACCAGUUCUUUAUUUGCAGUGGAAUAUAUACCCGUGACAUGCGCCUGACCCACAUAUCAUGACAUCACACACUAUGUUCUCACCUUUAGACCAAAACCUUGGUGGCCAAAGUUGUCGUGCGUCUUAUAUCCUUUUGCACUUGAAUCUACAAAAAUAUUACUAUACAAGAACCUCUGAAAUAAAAGAAAAUGUGCAGGGGUCCAAGCCAUGAACUCUAUCUUCAUGUAGAAAUUAAAUAUUGAUGAAGUCUAAAAUCCUUUUCUGUAAAUGAAUUUAGGGUUGAUCUUUGUCAUCAGUCAAAUGAUGAAGAAGAUGAAGAUGAUGUAUAUAGCCCUCGAGAAGCUUUGUUGGAGAAGAACAAGCCAAAUUCAAAUGCUGAUAGUCGCCGAAGAUGCUGCUCUUUUCGUGCUGUCAAAGUGGGAAGCCGCCAAAAAGUUGUGGUUCUGGUAAAGUUUAUGGAAUAUGCGCAUAUAAUGUUUAAAAGGCAAAAUUGUGAUUCACUUAGCAGCUCAGUUCACAGGCUUUAAAUGCAACUGGCCAACCAUGUGGCGAAAAGUCUCUUGAGAUAACAACCAAAUAAGUGGGGCUAGUCCCACAUUUAUGCUUUGUGUUAUCUGCCUUUUGUGACUCCAAAUAUCUUUUCUUAGUAUUCGAGUAUAAAUUCAUGUUACUGCUAACUUAUAAACGAUGUGUUUUUGUUCUAUAAUUUAGUAUGUGGUGAAACUAUAUUAAAAUAAACACAUCUUAUUAUCACUUGGGUACUUAAUUAUUUCUGUUUAUCUUGUGCUUAUGAAUUAUAUCACAUUUUAGUGGGCUUUUUUUGAAAAAAAUAUUUUUUUCUAAAAUUCUUUCAAAAUUUUUGUGCGGCAUAUGUCUGCGUUGUGGCAAAAUCCCUACUCUACAAACCCCCUGCUGUGCCCCCACUUUUAAGACAUUGUGUGUAUGUUCUACAUAAAAAAUGACACAUUGUAACUCACUGUGUUUCUCUUUUUCCAAUUUGGUUCUUAAUUCAUGUAUUUGCUUUUUGACCAGGUUACCCUGUUAGUUUUUCUGUUAAUGUUGGUAGCUGCUGUACUAAUAUGGAUUGGGAGGGGAAGGAACCCUAUUGAUUCAUCUGUUGUGGCUCGGGUAUGGACCAAGGCUCUUUGAUUACCAGUAUCUAUUUAUUUGUUUUUCUUGCAUAUUCUGUAACCUAUUUGAUUUAGCAGUGGUUGGUUAUUUCCAGCCUCACAUAUUCAUUUUUAGCUGCAACCAGAUUUUAUAACACAAUCUAUUUGAUUUUGGUUUUCACAUAUUCUUUCUUUAAUCCAUUUGAUUUAGCAGUUGUUGGUUCUCUUUAUAGAUUACUUUGAGCCUCACAUAUUCAUUUUUAACUGCAGUUAGAUUUUAUUACGCAAAUAAGUAUAUACCUCUGACUUGGAGCCCAAACUAUUUCUUAGUAUUUAUUGGGAGGAGCAUGUCGUUGAAACUUGAAAGUGAGGAUGUGUUCUCCUGUGAGUAAGGGUAGUUCUUGUAAAACGCGUUUCAUGCUUAAAUGAAUUAGCAUUGUUUUUUUAAUUUGCUUUACUAUACUAGUCUUUGGUGUUCAAAUUAUUGUUGGGAGAAAAGAAAUUUAGACUGUUUCAUGGUGAUUUUUUUCUUUGCCACCUUCUCCCCACCUUCCUCUUGAUAAUUGAUGAAGUGCAGUUUCAUCCAGGUGUAUGUAGAUCUCUUUGCCUUAGCAGUUCUUUUGCUGGGAGUGGCAUUGGCAUGCUAUGGUUAGUAUAUCAUACACUGGUAUUAUUUAUCCCCGGUUCCACAUUAAUGUUCACACGUCCCAGAAAAUUGUUGUCUUGCCAUUUUCAGUAAUAUAAUCUUAUCUAUUGCUACUAUGCACCAUAAAUCUUUACAUGGGCACUUCAGUACUUGUGUAAUAACUAACAUCUUGAUCCACCAUUUCUUCACACAAUCAGCUGAUGUAAAGAUUUGAGUUAUUUUAUUUAACAAUAAGGAGUGAUUUACAAAUGUUCAAGAGUUCUCUCUCCCUCUGUGUGUGUGUGUGUCCCCAGAUGUGGGUCAAGGGGGUGGAGAAGUGAUUUCAGAAAUAGUUUAGACAAUAAGAUAUGCAGGUUGAUAGUUUUAGGGGGUGAAUCUGCUGUCUCCCCAGAAAGACAAAUUUCUCAUCAUUAAUAUCGCGAUCGAAUGAGUUGAUUGUUCAACCAAUUAUCUGUUUCUCAUCGAGCUGUGCGAAAUUUCUAGAAACGGUUGUCGUAAAGAACUUGCUGUUUAAAUAGGUCUUUUGUGUUCUAAUUAUUUUGUGUGAAGGUUUUCUAUUCAAAAACUGUCUUUUCUGACCAUACUAUCUCGUCUAUGCAGGACUGGUAUUGUUCUUGAAAAUGAGCAAAGUGAGAUCUGAAAGGGCUUCAUCAGAAAUGUGGAAGGUACUAACUCAUCUUUCCUCGGUGCAUCUCUACCAUUUUCUGUAUGUCAGCUGGAAUCGUUAUUUGCAGACUGCAGAAAACUUGUGUGUCAUGUCAUGUCAUGUCAUACUGAGAUCUUUUACAGUUCUAGUUUUACGAACCGAGCUUGAAUAAAGUGCACUUUUCUUUCUCUUUUUUUCUUCCUUGUUAGAGUUUAGCUCUCAUGUCACACAUUGUAAUAGAUUUUUUUUUUCUUUUGACAAAGCGAUUGUGAUAGAUCUUUUUACUGUGAAGUUCGAUUUUUUAUUAUAUGUUUGUCAAAUGAAGGUUGCAGGCUUGGCAGUUGUUUCUGUUCUAUGUUUCACUUCAAGUGCCGCUGUCGCCAUAUUCACAGAUAUACCCGUAUGUCUUCUGCUUGUCUCAUGAGAUCGUCUUUUAUUUUGACUGCAUAAGUUUCUAAAAGAUAAUGCUUUUAAUGCAGCUUCUUUUUAACUGGCAUGGACAGAAGAUAAAUGGUGUUUGUACAUCUCUUCUCAUGGUUUUGUAUUAUUUUAUAGGUACCCUUUAAAACUUUUUCCUUACUGAAAGCUUGAUUUGAAUUUCUAUACUUCAGUGGGAACUUCUGCUUUCUGCCUGCUAAUUGUUGUUACCAAUUGUAGAAGCUAUGAGAUGCUCCUGAAGCCCACCUUUUAUACCUAAGAGCUACCAACUGUAGUUAAUUAGAUGAAGAGGGCUGAACUCAACAUGGUGGAAGCAACCAAUUUAACAAUCAGAGGUUGCUCUGAUGAUGUCAUAUAAGUGCAUUAAUAUCGUAAACAUUUUGAGUUGUUAUGAGAUGUCUCUCUGGAUGCAUUCAACAGAUGUUGGGAGCUAUAGUGUAAGGACUUAACAUAAGAGCUGGAUUGUGAAAUAUCAGAUAUUUCUUUAAAAAUUUGAGGCAUGACUGAGAGGGGAUUUAGUAAUAGUGCGUCAAGAUAUUGCUUGCCUCCCACUUAGUUCCUGCUCUUCCCCCUGACUCCACUUGUAAGAUUACAGUGGUUAUGUUGUUGUUGUUCUUUAGUUUAAGAAAUUGCAUCUAUCUUCAUUGUAUUGGGCUAUGGUAUGGAGACUCCAAUUACUUCAACCAAGAAUACAAGUAGCUUGUACAUGUUUUGUUGGGGGCAGCUGAUCUUACAAUGCAGUUCUUUCCUACGAAUUAGAGUUUUAUUCACAAAGGGGGAACUUUCUAAUACUCUGUACCUGAUCAAAAUAUUUUCCAGGUUCUUCUAUACCUUCAGCAUUUGUGCUAUGGGUGAUGAGAGAACUACCACCUCCACUUGUCACUUUCAGUCAACAGGAGUCGAGGACAAUAGCUUUUAUAAAUGACAGUUCAGCGACAGUACAGCCUCAGCGAUGGACAGCUGCUGCAAGUGUGCAAAAUCAGGUUUCUUGCCUUCUUUUAACUCUAAUGCACACCUUGUUUGUUGAUUUGUCUCUAGUCGUGUGCAUCAUGAUCUUGAGUAGGGAACACGUAGAAAAUGCAUGUUCAUUUACAAGGGCUAUAAGCCUAUCACUGAUUAAAUGAAAUGGAAAAAAGUUCAAGACGAAGCAAAUAAAUUAUUUAUCUCCUGGCACAUUACACUAGGGAUGGGGAAAUCAUGGUAAGUGAAGCUAUGGCUACAAAUCAUUUUAGCUGUCCAUUAAAUUUUUCGUUAAGAUCCACCAACUCACCAGAAUUGCAGCUUAGCAGUUGAAAGACAACUUAUACAAGCAUUAUUUUUAACCUCACAUCAAAACCCAAAAGAGAAUGUGAAAGUAGAGUGCAAAAUCAAUGAAGAACUCUUUUCAUUAUCUUACACUAGAUGGAUUCACAAACUUGUACCAAUGUGUUCUAAGCAUUGUGGAUGCAGGUCUCAAGGGCGAGCCCCAUAUGAUCACCGUGAUGGAAUUUGUAAAUUGAUUGGUGAUUUUCAGCUAGAGUGAAGGACUGACAAUACUAAAAAUGAAAGAACUUCUCAGUUGAGUGGUCGGUGUUGUGGUUGAGUGAUCGAAGAAAGCUCAACUCAACGGAUAAAAAAUACCCCUUGCAACUAAGUAAGGUGGUUGCUCAGGGUACACAUGCCUGCAUAACUUGGAUUCUUGUACAUAGCAAUGAACUUUCUAAAUUUUACAGAUUCUUUUUUGUUGAUAUAAUGAGGUUUUAGAUUUUUCUUGCCCUUCAAAGCUUUUCAUCUGAUUAUCCUACAUUAUAUGAUAUAUGGUCUGCCAUAUAAUUCAAUUUGCUCUAGAAAAUUAAUUAGCCAUUGGUCAGCAUUUAAAAGGACAAAUCCAUUUUACCAUACUAAGAACAAAUCACAAUUUUCCAGUUGAUUUUUUUGAAACAUUUCUUUUCUUCCAUUUUUUAGUCUCUGCUUUUUGUUUUCAUCUCAAGCGACUUACCUAUAAUUUGGUGUUCUGCGUGAUUCUAAUUUACGAUCACAGUGCCAUUUGCCACUAGCUUAACUCCUAGCUUUUGGAUAUAUACAUCAGUUAAUUAAAAUUAAAAAAUUUACUACUGUAUUAUUUAAAGGAACAUGUAACUAUCAGAAAAAUGAGAAUUAAAAUGUAGUGCUGUGUUUUGGCAAAGCUUGCCUGCACCUUAGAGACCAGGUACAUGUAACUUCCCAGCGGUAACACUGACUACAAAGGCUCAAGUUUAUACGAGAAGUGACUGCCAAAUCCCAUUAGUCCAAACGACUCUUUUGAAAGAAGAACAACGACAAAGUAAAAUAGAAAAAGAAGCCUUCGAGCUAAUGCAUUAGCAGUGGCACUUCAAGAGCAAAUUAUGCAAAACCGUGCACCCUUUGGAGCUAGAGAAAUACAUUAACCGAAUAUAUUUAACAGCUCUUGCGUCCUGUCUUCCACCUCGAACAAAGUAGUAAAGCAACCCACCAGUUGCCAUCUUCAGUAAAUUGUUUAAAAUCCAGGCUUGUGAGAGAAUACUCUACAAGCAUACUCCAAAUCUGCCAAGGUAAAGUCCAUUAACCGGUUUUAGCUACCAACAAGGAAAACAGGUUUAUCACAAGGUCCAACAAAAUCAUAUGUCAUUGUUGUGGGAAGCAACAACACAUAUAUACCUUCUCAUACAAGUUGGGAUCAGCUAUAUAAAUUCUCACCUAUCAGGUUUCUACAUUUAAAUUCAUCACAUGCCAGCAUUAUAUUAUUCUUAUAGAACUAAACAUGACAAAAAUCAGAAUAUUAUGCAGAGGAUACAUUAUUACGAGCCAUAGUCUUGUCAUACAUUACCAAGCACACAUUUUUCCAGUCACAACCAAAAAUAUACAACUAGCAUUUGGACGUAAUACGCUAGAUAAAACAUGAAGCAAACAAGAAGCUUAGUCUGAAAAUGUGCAAAUUUUCUACAAGGAAAACCACUAGGAGGAAAUUUGAAUUAGCCAGGGGAGAAAACAGAAAACUUUUAGAAAGAAAAACACUAGGAAGAAACCUAAACACAAUAUUUGAUUCCUAAACAUUUUGCUACCUCUCAUUAAGUGAGAACUUGAAGUUUAACACAUAUAAAGUUCACAUAACUUCCUCCCUCAUAAGUUCUUGAAAAAAUUGACAGUAGCAUAAAUAGUUCACUAAGACUAAUUUGGAAAAAUAAAGAGAAAAAAAUAUAGAACACAGGAAUCAAAUCAGUGACGAAAUGAAGGCAAAUAUCAAAGUGAAAUGAGGACAACAUUGCAAAGCAAUGGCACAAGUUCAUAACAAAUGAUCCAACCUCCUAAUUAGCAAAAACAUAUUAAGCAUGAAAUUCUAAACAAGCAUACCUUGAAAGGUUGAUUUACUGUACUUCUCUUCCUACUGAUCCAAAAUUUUCAGGAGGCCAUACCUAAUGACAACAUCAGAACUUUAAGAUUUCUACAACGCAGCAAAAUUAAAGAUAGAAUGCUGCACAAACAAGUACUUCAAAUACGGAAAAAAGAUCAAAAAGGUUACACAUUUUGUUUUACAACGUUCCUAGUUUACUAAUUGAAGAUGACUCUCCAGAAAUAGCUAGCGACAUAUCUGUUGGUUUAUGAAUUCAAGUCAGAAACAUAAAACAUAUUGGAUGAAUUUCACAAGUAUCAACUAGUCUACAAGAACCUGAAGUAUUAAACACGUUCACAAGAUUAGGUGUGCUUAUGCAUAUAUGUAGAGAUUUUAGCCUUAAGCCCCUAACUAACCAAAUUGUACCAAACAGUACCAAUAAAAUCAGCGCACACACUAUUUAGCACAAUAGAAUCCCCUGAAAAUGCUGCUUAUGCACAAGCUAGACAUGAUUCCUAUGGCAGGUGUUCCUUCUGGCAAGUCCUACAGGAGACUUAGCUAUUCUUUUAAUCUUAUCAAACAAUACAAAGAUAAAAAUCUGACUUACCAAUUCAAACUUAAAAAAAUUAAAAAUUGUCUUAAACAUAAUCAUCAAAUGGCAUGCAUAAGGACAGCAAUAUGAUGGCGUUAAACAUACCUUCGAAAACAGUUCCACGAAAUUAAGCAAAAAAUAUUUCCAAAAUAUAAUAAAGUCCUAACAGUUUGGCAAAUUAGCUAAAAAUUAAAAUAGAGAAGAAUUACUGACAAGCCAAAAGACUCUGCCCUGUACAAGUCCAUAAGGUACAGGUCCAAAGUUCCUCGAAUCGUUGGUAUUGAAUUUGUUAUCCCCUUCAAUCCAAACAUGUCCAUCUGGUACCUGUUCACAUUCAAAGCAUAUUCACCUAAGAAACAAAAGUGGAGCGGCGCAAAGAAAAUAGGGCAGCAAAAACCCAACUACAUUAGCUCCUGAAAGUAAACUACAAACAUUUACCAACUGCAAAAGAGGAGAAAAUCAGUUGUAAAUGAAGGUAUUUGAUCAAUUCUGAAUUACCACAAUAGUAUGUUCUAUUCCAUUAUUUGCAUGAUCCACAACAUAUCUAACAGUAUCACUACCCAUGCCCAUGAUUCUUUUGAUCACAAUUUUUCUCGGGUUCUCAGGGCUACGCACUAGCACUACAUCUCCACGUUGCAUUUUCUCAAACCGAGUUGAUAGCCUUUCAGCCAAAACAAGAUCUCCAGUCAGACUAAACGUUGGAAGCAUGCUUGGACCUUGAGUCUGCCCAAAAUAUAUGAAACAAAAUACAGAUUUAAAAAUUGCAGUGCAAUUGGUCCAAAGCAUGAAGUAGUAAACUAAGAAAACAGUAUAGUACUACUGGUUAAGCUAUCGUACGAGAGCUAAGGUGCAGAUAUAGCUGUUGACCACAUGAAUACCACAGAGGAAUUUGGCUACGAGUAAUGUUUGCUGAAAUGCUUCUUUGAUAAAAGGCGUCAAUUGCUUCAGAUUUUUCAGACCCAUUAUUAGUCAAUCUGCAUCUCAACCCUAAAGAGGCUAUCUCACCAAUUAAAAUGGAUGACAGAAUCAGGCGAAAGAGUACCACAGUAACCCAGACCUCUACUCGACGGCGAACACGGCCCCCGCUAUUUAAUUGUGCAAUCUCCGAUUGACGCACAGCGAACACAGCCCGGAAUUUGGUGGUCUAAUUGUGCAUUCUCCGGUGUAGAGAAAGUUGAGAAAAAUAUUUUCUACAAUAGUCCCUUAAGUUUGAGCAUCAACUCAAAAUAGUCAUUGAAAUAUACACUAACUCAAAAUUAGUCCUUAUAGUUUUAAAAUUGUCAUACGUAGUAAUAAUGGGUGGAAAUCUAACUGCUAACGUUGACCAUUGUAUGACUCAUCCAACAUAAUUACCAAUCGAAGCAAUAGUAAUGAAGUUUAUUUGAGAAAGUGUAAUACUUUCGCUUAUCAUAUUCAUAUUACAUUUUUUUUAAAAAAAAGUGAAUUUUAACUUAUUUUUAAAAUUAAAUUAUAUUACACUAAUUUGAUAUUGAAAUUAAAAAUUUAGAUAUUCAAAAAUCAUAUUGAAUUAUUAUAAAUUGUAAUUUUUACAUUGAUAUGAUAAAAAAUACAUUGUAAAAUAUUAGUCAAAAUUUAUAUAAUUUAAUUUGGCUCUAAAAAAGAAAAAUAUGACAGUUAAAAAUAUACAGAGGUAAUAGUAGUUAGAAUGAUUUUGUUGCUAAAAGUGAUUUCAACAGGUGACUUGACAUAACAUGUUAUUAUCAAUAAAGUUUUGUAAUUCGUUACUCUAAAACACGUAUUAUUCAAAUUUUCACGAUUCAAAUGAUAGAUUUAUUUUGUACAUACCUUCACUUGAAAUAUAUAUGAUUUUCUCUUUUCUUUCUUUUUUAUACAUAGACAAUAGUUUUAAAAAAAAAAAAGUAAAAAAAAAGUGAGGAAGACUUUGAACAUAUUGGAGCUUGUCUUGUAUCAUUUCAAUUUCAAAAUUUGUGAAUAAAUCAUACGAGAGAUCUUCUUCUAGCCUAAAUAAUCAUCCCUUCCAAAUAUUAGACCAAUUAGUUUCUUAUAAUUAUUAAAUAUUAGAUUAUCGAUAAAGAAGCUAUUGAAUUAAAAUUGAUGCAAUAACUAAGCAAAACAACUAUUAACAAAAAGAAUUAAUUGAUAUUGUAGAAAAUCCCUCCUCACUCUCUUUUUUUUUUACAAAAGUAUUAUUUAUUAUCAAAAGAGAAGAUAAAGAGAAAUUUAAUAAAGUUGAAUGAGGUAUGUAUGAGAUUGAAUUUUAGUUUUUAAUCAAUCCAGAGAAACGUUAUUAUGAGUCACGUUUUGCGUUUUAGCUGCAAAACGUGCCUCAGAGAAAAAAAUAAAAAACAUUACUGAAACUAACGUUUUAUGUCUGUUUACUCAGUCAUAUUUUUGUCUUUUUUUUAUUAUUUUUAAUAAAAUAUUACGUAAAACGUUAUUAAUAACUAUGUUUAUAUUAAUAUCAUAAAAUUCUCUAAAAAAAUAUAUUAUUUUAUUAAAUUAAUUUUUAAUAAUGACUUAAUUUGAAAAAAAUAAAUAAUCUAAUUUUCUCCAUAUAUAUGGAAACUCAAAUAAAUUCAUUGAAGCUAUUUUCCCCACCAAAUUUUAAACAUUUCUUUUUUGUGAACCGCUAUGGGAUAAUUAUGAAAAUUUGUCAUUAUUUUUUCUUCAAAAAGUCAAUAAAAUAUUAUAUUAAAUGAUAAAGCAUGAUAGCUUUAGCUCAUAGCUCAUUGCACAACAUUUAUUCACUUUUUUUACCUCAUGCCUAUAAAAGUAGACCACGUCAAAUUCAUUUUGUUCAUACAACUCGAGAUGUGAGAAACAUCAAGUUAGAUAAAUAUAACUGUCACAAUCUCUAUAACUAUAUAAUUAAAAAGAGUUAAUAAAAUAAUCGCAAUGUGAAUCACCGAAUAAAUUUUUCUAUUGAAAAUUCACAUAUAUAAUUAAUUCAAUUGUUAUAGAUAUAGAAUUUACUCAAUAAAAAUUUUAAUUUUACGAAUCUGAAUAAAAUAUAAUAAGUAUAAAAAUAACGUCAAACGACAGAUAUAAUCCAAAAUCUUUUCGAAAGUGUGAAUGGCUAAUGACAACAAAGAUAAAUGACAAUAGUAAGGUUGGCAAAUUGGCGUGCUGCUGUCUAAAAAUUGCAUGCUUAUGCACAAAAUUCAAAGCUAUGAAAGCCUUAUUGAAAACAAAAGAUGAACCUUUGAAAAUGAAAGGGGAAAAAAGAGAUUAUUUUUUUGGACUCAAAUAUUUAAGUUUGAGCCAACAAAGAAUAUAACCAUAUGGUGGUCCAUUAAAUGUUGACAAUUUAAAACUUGUUGGUUAAUAAACUUUUGAAAAAUGCUUGCUAUUAUCUGAAAAAGGAUAAAAUUGUUGCCCUUUGAUCUUUCAGCAUCAAGGUUUUAUUGGAUGCAUGCUUUAACUUUCUUAUGGAUUUUUCAAAUUGCUAAUCAAGUCACUAAUUAUGAUUAAUUAAGAUUUUGCUAACCAAUUAUACAAUUAUAUAUCUAUCUUAUAUCCUCUCAUCUACGCAAUUUUCAAGUGAGAUAUAUAGUAAGCGUUUCAUCUAAAAAAUAUCUUUGAAAUCGGUAACUUUUCAUAAUAUUUUGAUCAUUUUUAUCCUCUGCUCCUUUAAACCUCACUUUCAUGCCGGAUAUAGCGACAUAAUAACAAUAUUAUCGAUAAAUUCAAAAAGAUAAAAACAUACAUAAAUAGAUAAAAUACGUUUCGCACUAAUAACUUUUAACUUUUCAUAUCACAAACUAGAAGUAUAUGUAUGAUAGUUAAAACUAAACCAUCUUGCUAUCAUAUAUUACUAAGUUUUGACUAGGUUGACAUGGACAUUAGGACGUGCAUAAACAUCAGAAAAUUAAAAAUACGGAAUUGAAUCGAACUUUUUUGAUAUUUUGGUUUCGAUUUUUCAAUUUUUGGUUCGAUAUUCGGUAUAUAUUUUUAUUUUUUCAGUAUUUCGAUUCGCUUUUCGAUAUGUAAUUUUGUGUUAUUCAACAUUUCAUUUAUCGAAAUAUAUUAUAUUAUAAUAUAUAUUUAUAUUAUAUUAAUUAUUAAUGUUAAAAAAUAAAUAUUAUAAUUAAAAACUAAAAAGUAAAAGACACUUCUUUGAUGUAACUAUUUUUAGCCCAUUAAGCUAAAAAAUCAAAUAAAAAAAAGGCAACUUUCACAUAUAGCAAACAAAAAAUUUAUAUUUGUAUGCUAUAGCAAACUUUGCAUAAUUGCGCUCCAUAGCAAACAUAAAACUGCGUAAUUUGCUAUACAUAUACAAUUGUAUAAUUCGCUGGCCUAUUUCGCUGCAAUUGUAUAAUUUGUUUUGCAUACAGUUGAAUCAAAUUAAAAUGUAUGUAUAUUGCAUAAUUAUAAGUGUAUAGGAAAAAGAUAUAUGUUUUUCUCGCUUUAUACAAAAACAGAAACACAAUAUAUACACUUUUGUUGUAUAAAGCUAGAGAAAAUUGUAUUUCACUGCAAUUGUAUAAUUCGCAAUUGAGUAAUUCGUUGGCCUUUUUCUCUGCAAUAUUUGAAGUAAAAUGUUUGUAAAUUGUAUAAUUAAGUGUAUAACACGAAGAUAUACAUUUUUGCAUGUGUAUAUACAAUUUUCUCUCGCUUUAUACAAAACAGAAACAGAAUUAUACACUUUUGUGUAUAAAGCGAGAGAGGCGAGCGAGAAUGGAGAGUAGCGAGCGAGAUUUUUGGGAGAGAGACGCUGGCAAAUUUUAGCUAAUGUUUGCUAUGGAGCACAAUUAAAUCAAACCCUAGCUAUUCCAUUUAAUUUAGGUUAUUGGUUUGCUAUUAUAUAUAAUUUUUCCAUAAAAAAAAUUGUUAAUUUUUAAAUUUUAAAAAGCUCACUAAGCAGUCCCAUUAAAAAAAACAAAAUAACAAAAUCGAAUCGAAAUAAUAUAAAUUGAACCGAAAUAAUGAAAAUCGAACCGAAUCAAAUUAUUCUGAUUCGGUGUUCGAUGCACAUUGCACAAAAAUCAAAAACCAAAAAAGAAAAACUGAAACCGAAUCGAAUUACCGAAUGCCCACGUAAUUGGAAAAACUAACCUUAAAUUAAUAAAGAAUGUCUAUAUAUGAUCUUAUGAAAGUUUAAUUUCUUUUACAAUGUUAGUUGCAAAGUACAACUCAUACAUAUCAUAAUAAUAUUGAUUCUUAUAGGCUGGCGUGGGAUGAAUAAAUGAUUAAUUAUGUGUUAAGUACUUGUAAAAUAAUCAAAACUAGUUACAAUAAUGAUCACAGAAUUAAUGUUUGUUAGUUGUCAAUUGUGAAGUACAAGUUGUUCAUUCUUCAUUGUAUCUUAUAUAAGCGUGGGAUAUUAACUCAUUGUAUAAUUUUAAUUACGUGUUAAAAGAUCAUUAAAAAGUCUAAAUCUUCUUUCUUACAACACCAAUGUUAUCGUCAUUUUUACUAUAAUGUCUUGCAAUAGAAUGUUUGUACGCAUGAUAAUUAAGUUCCUUAUCUUAAUUAGAAAAAGAAAAUUGAUCAGAAUAAUAUUUUUUCUAUGUUAUUUCACUUUUUCAAUCAUGUUUACCCUUUUAAGUUUAAUGCAUUUUAACUAAAAAUGAAAAAAAUGUAUAUUUUAAAAUAAGAAAAAUACUAUAGUUUUUUUACUUUUCUAACCAAAUUUUAUAGUCAUUUAGCACUUUCUUUAUAAUUAUUAUCUCCUAUUGAAUUAGCAAAGCAAACUAUUCUCUCGUCACAAUUUAAUUGUCGCUUUAGCUCAAAAAAUUGUCAUCUUAAAAAUUUAACUAUAAAGUUGUCAAUAGUUUUCAAAUUGUACUUUUAGACUUUAGUUCAAUAAAAAGACGAUAAUUAAAAUGAAAUGGAUGAAAUAUCUUGUGCAAUUUUCACGAUAAAAUAGUGUAUCCCUAACUAUAAAAGAAAGAACAUAAACGAGACAAUAUAUGCAUCCUAUUAACAAUAACCACACAUUAAGGCAAUAAAAUAAAAUUUUGUUUAAUUAGAAGACAUAUUAAGCUGAGAUGGAUUAUUAUUUUAUCAAUUAUUUACUUAUUUAUAUUAAAAAUAAUAUGCAUAACAACAUUUUUAAGAAGAAAUUAUCUUUACGAAAAUAUGCUCCUAUUUUUUUUUUUAAGGAUGUCAUGGAUAUUUUAAACAUGAAUAACUAAUUUUCAUACUAUUAUUUCAUCCUUUUGAAGAUAUAACUUUUUUGAUCACUAAUUACUAAAUAAGUUUUCUCAAAAUUAAUUAUACACUAAAUAAAAAAUAAAAUGAUACUUCAGUAAUUUUUAUUUUCAAACUAUAUAUACUUGUACAAGCUAUUUCGUGUUGGAGUAAUAUUCAACGAAACAUUGGCAUCAUUUUAGUGAGUCGUGCUUAUAGUAUUUCACACAUAUUUAUUAUUAUUUUCAUUGUUUUUCCACUCAACAAUAUUUAUUUACUAUACUAAAAAUAGAUAUGGAACAAUAUUUAUUUAAUUUAAUAAUUUUACACUUUUAUGUAUAAAAAAAAAUCAUAUAUAGGGAACUGUAGUGGACUUUCGCUCACUUCGAAAAUCUAAAUCCAUCCUAGCAUAUAGGCUUGUUUACGGGGUUGGCUGGGUCAGUUUUUAAUCAAAAUCAAAGCUAAGUUAAUUUACUUGAUUUUUAAACUAUUAAAAUUAAAUUAAAUAUUAUAUUAAAUUGAUUUAGUUGUUCUCAGUUUUUGGUUUGGUUAUUAGUUAUAAAAGAUAGAAUUUAUUUUAAAUAAAUUAUUUAAGAUAAUGAUUCAUUCAAAAACAUAAUAAUAGCGAAUAAAAUUACAAAAUUUUUGACUACUAAAUUAACUAUACAUAAAACGUUCACUUUUGAUCUAAAUAAAAAAAAGACAACGAUAUUUUCAGUCCUACAAAAAAAUUGUCAAAAAUACACCAAUGUGUAUAUAUAUAAAACCAACAAAAUCAAUACCCUCUAUUUGAAUAUUAAUUAAGGAUGAGCUGUUUUUAUACAUAAUAUAUACGUACAUACAUACCUUCACACUUUUACUACCUUGUCAUAUUAUUUGUUAUAUAUAUUAUAUAUGACAUGUACAAAAAAAUAACUUUUUUCUUCUCUAUCUUCACAUUUUUUUCUUGAGAAUAACAUUUUAUCACUUUCCCUUCCCCUUUUCUUAUUCUCUAACAACAAUGAGUAAAAACUUGAAAAAAAAAAGAAAAAGAAAAGGAAAAAGACGUUGAAAGUUCCAUACAUGAAAAAGACCAAAAAAUACAAAUCGUUAGGUGAAAAAUGUCAAUGAAAUUUGAAAAACAAUUCAUUCAUAGUACAAACUUUGGUCGGAUAACUUUUCCAAAUAAAAAAAUUUAGUAGAACAAUAAUAAAUUAAAUUAUAUAAAAAGCUCCACUAAUCUUUACUCUUUCUUUCACUAUUUCCGAUACGUAAUUAAAUAUAUAUUGAGAUAAAAUUAUAAUAAAUAAAAGUGAAUGAAUUAAAUAUAACGAAUAAAAGCGAACGAAAAAAAUAUGAUAAAAAUGGAGGUAAGAUGCGCCAUCUUUGUCAAACCUGAUGAGGGGCCCACUUUAGCUUUCACGCGUGCUCUUGUAAAUUGAUCGAACGAUCAAUAACUCACCCGCAUUAUACGGAAAACUUUUCUCUCUCUUCAAUCGAACGGCUCAGAUUUUCCGCCUUUGACUCUUUCCUGUCUCUACCCCUAAGGCUCUAACUAGUAGUCCCCUCCCUACCCCUAACCCCUACCCCUCUCUUCACUCGCAUAUCCCAAUAACAAACCACGAGCUUCUGCUUCAACAUUUGCAUCUGACACUCACCUCUUCCCUCUCUAGAAAAAAAAUUCAGAAAAUCUAGUGAAGAAACAACAAAGAUCUUUUUUUUUUUUUUCAUUUGGGUAUGUUCAAAGUUCUUUUUUUUUUUUUGGUUUAGAUUUGUUGCUUUAGUCUUUGAUUUGAGGUUGAUUGUGUUGUUUCUUUUUUUGGGAUUUUAUCUGACUUGAUUUGAUGAUUUGGGUAUUUGUGUUCUUGGUUUAAUUUUGUAUGGUUAGUGAAGAAAGGAGAAAAAUAGUAUUUUUUUUUGAGGUUUUUAGAUUCAUUAUGGUUUCUUGUAUUGAAUUGAUCUUAGGUUUGUAUUGAUUCAAUGAUAGUGUGUGAAUUUCAUAGAGGGGUGAUCUCUUCUACCGAACUUUUUUGCAUCUAUUGGUGAUUUUUUAAGCAUUUGUGAUUUGCUGGGAAUUUGGGUUUCGACAGUUUAUUUGUAUUAAGGAGUUUUACUGUAAAGAAUAUUAGUUUCCUUUUGAAGGAAGCAUUGUAAGUUGGUGUUUAUUUCUAUGAGCUUUUAUAAUAUUAUGUUUUGCUAUUUGUGUGCUUAUUGAUUAUUAUUGAUAUUUAGAGUUAUGUUUUGCUAUUUGUUUGCUUAUUAUUGUUAAAGAUGAGCUAUUUGUGUUCUUAUUGAUUAUUAUUGAUAUUCGGAGUUGUGUUUUGCUAUUCUCGCAGUGGCUUGGAUUGAAGACUAUAAUAUACUGCACUGGACCAAUCAACAUGCCGUGGGCAUUUUCUUCUCUGAGUUAUUGUGUGAAGUGUGUGCGCUUUGUGGUAUUCUUUCGUGUGAUUCUGUAACCCAUUUUACUUGGUGAGAUAGCCUCUUGUAUUUCCUAAAUCUCUAUCUGUCUCUUCAGCCUUAGAUUUUAUUUGUUUCUAUGUAACUAUUGCACCUUCGAGAUAGAGAUAAGGUCUGGGAAUGUUGUUGUUGUUGUGGUGUGUAAAUAUUGCGGAUUAACUAUUCCUGUUGAGGAUUUACUAAAACAGAACAGUAAUGCCCAAGAGAUUAAAAAAAAACUUAUUGCCGAAAAGUAUUUAGAAGAAGAUAAUUUUAGUUGGGUUGACAAUAGAGAAAUGGAAAUUAAAGUUGUAUUACUCGAGUGUUAUUCAGGUGAUGGAUCCAUUAGUUUUACAGUGGUUCGCUACUCACUUGAGAAAUAAGUUUUGCUUGUAUUGAUGUUCUUUAAUGUUUUACUCAUUUGUGCUUGUUUGGUAUGACAGAUUGCGGAAUCACUUUAUUUUCUGUCUUGUGAUAUUUCUUGAUACUAGUCUAUUUGGAGGUUGAGAAUGUACAUUGCGAUUACCUUGAAGAGAUACAGAGCAGUUAAAGAAGCUGGUGAGAUUAAAAUGCAUGUGGGGAGUGUUGCUUAUUACCAAUUGAUGCUAGUUUGUCAGGUAAAUAUUCUUUUAGCUUUUGGUCCUGUCUUUUUGAUUAAAUUGCACUGAAUCCAACCAAACUCGUACAGUCUAAAGGAAAUAGAGACAAAUCAACUAGAACUUAAUUGAAUAUUGUAUGGGAGGAUUCUUUUUUGUGUUUCAGUCUUCUGUUUAUGUUCUGACUGGUAUUUUGUGCCAGGUGCAUGAUCUUCUACUGACAGUCUUAUUAAGACUUGGCUUAAACCACUAUGAAAAUGUUGAACACUAUUCCUCUUUCUAUCAAUAUUGACUUUAUCACUGAGGUUGAGUACAGAAAAUUGUUUAUCCUCAGUGUAGUGUACUGCUAUAUAGUUUCCAUAGGCAUCUUGAUAUCCAUACAGAUAACCGCGUCUGUAUUGAAAUAUAACUUUUGUAUGCCUUCUGUAUAAUGCUCAUCUUACCAAGUGUAUGGUGGUUCCGUUCAACCUCAAGACAAUGAGAAUAGUUGGGAUUAUUUUCUAGGCAUAUUGUUUCCUUGUUUUAAUAUUUUUCUUAUCUUGCAUUUGUUCUGAAUGUAUGACAACCCAAUGAUAUGGUUCUUUGGUUCUUGCUUUUUACAGGCUGAGUACUUCCGUCAGUUGCUUAAACCUGUAACGUAGUCUGCUAAAGUGUAAGCUUUGGGGAGGUUGGGAUUGCUUACUUCUUGUUGCUCUUAUUCAGCAAAGCCUUGUUGAAGUUGGGAUUUGUUGCUUCUCUUUCAGUGUAUACGAAAUCAGAAUGACCUCAUUAAGCACUGAAUGUGGUUACUGUUGAUUGGAAUUGUCAGUGCUUUUUACUACAACUAAUACACCUUGAACAUUACUCUCUUUUGCCUGUGCCUUUCGUAACUCUUAGCUACUUUAAUUUUUAAAACAUCCCAAGUGGAAAACACUUUUCUAGUCCAGUUUAUUGGAUCUUUGACUUAGUUACUCAUGCAGAAUAACUAUCAAUUUUCCCCUCAAAUUCAAAAGCCUUUUGUCUCUCUGGAAGACCAAGCAGCUGGUGGUAAUAUAUUUGAUAUUCCUGUUCCAUCCGUCUUUGAUACAAUGGCACUUCCUACUAGUUUCAAAUCUUCUGUGCCCUUUCAUGGUUUUGAAUUUCGGUCCUCUGAGGCAUGUCCAAAGAAUUUCAUCAUCUUUGAUCAGACUGAUUACCGGAGCCAGAUCAUGUACCACCCUGCCAUGACCUCCAAAUUCCCAUAUCCUGAUCUGAAUUAUAAUUCAACUUGCUUCCACGACUGCAUGGAGAGAAAAAUUGCAAACAAUGAGAAUACAGAAGUUUCUUCAUAUCUGAAGGAAGAUUCAGAUGAUAUAAAUGCAUUGCUCAGCUUGGAAGAGGAAGAAUGUGAGGAAUAUGAUGAAGAAGAGGUGAGCACUGCACGCACUGAUGCAAACUAUGGAUGCAGUUCCCCUGAAUCAUACUCAAACUAUCAUUGUCAAUCCAAAAAGAGCAGGACCUCUUCUUUCAGGGAAUCCUCUGGUAGCAGUACUAGCAAUUGCAGUGAGAGAAAACGCAGGAAACUUAAGAAGAUGGUCAAGGCAUUAAAGGGAAUCGUCCCUGGUGCCAGCAGGAUGAAUACUGUCACCGUUCUUGAUGAAGCUGUCAGAUACCUCAAGUCACUUAAGGUGGAAGUGCAGAAGCUUGGAGUCGAUAAUCUGAAGACAUAUGCCUGAUAUCCUUUGUGGUAUAGGUAAUUUCGCUUCCUUUAUCACCGUCACAUGAUUAUGAACCCUAGUCAUAUCUUUUGCUUAUGUGAAGAAGAACUACUUAUACCGUCGUAUUGCUGAGUUGCUGCUCUGGAGGGGGUAACGUAACGUAGAAUAUGGUCCUUUGUCCAGCGAUAGGACAAUAAGUCUGCUGUAGUAGCUAGCUGCUAUAUCUAAUUUCUCAUUCUAGCAUAUAGUAUGUUUCCACUAGUUGCAAACUCUAUUAAGGCAUUUGAAUAAUUUCUCCAAUAUGUGACACUCUUUCACCUAUUGGAGCUGCUAUUUGUUAUUGUUGUUGUAUGACUUUGAUGAUUUGUUUUAAUGGAUAAUGGGUUGAUGAUUACACUUUAUGCAAGCGUGUUAUGGUCGAAUCUUGAGUGUCUUUUAUUUCAAUUUUAAUCUUUGCAUGCUGUGAUCUUUAGUUACUUUUUUUGUCUGUUGGGAAUCAUGAGACAUUGGGAUUAUAUGUGAUCCUCUCUGCUGCUCCACUUGGCUAGUGCUGUUACUGUAAAGUACACCACUUUAUUAGUCUAUAAAUUUGGAUGAUAUGAUUAUGCCCUCAGAAUUUUAUCUUUUCAAAAAUUUAUUUUACAAAGUUUCUGACCUAAAUACUUUCUUAAUAUUCUAAAAUAGUUGUCCACCUUUACUUCAAGAUUUAAUUUACCAUUUUGCAUGUAUUUUACGAUUGUUAUUAAAUGUUAUGAUUCAUUCCCUAAUAUUUAGAUGUUUUAUAAUUAAGAGUGGUGAUAUAGCAUAAACAUAAAUAAGUUAAAAAUUGUUUUACCACGACUUUCAGUCCCUUUCUUCGUCAUGAAGAGCAUGAACUCAAUAAUACUAUACUAAAUUUAAUAUUAUAAGUUUCUUUUGGAUGUCCGACUCGUUUAAACUAUUCUUUAAUUUAAUUUAGUUAAGUUAGUUCAAGGGAUUAACUUAGGAUAAAGUUUUUUUAAACAGAAAACAAUGAUUUAUUGAGCUAGUGAGAGUUAAUUUAAAUAAUACUUAGUAACUUCACUAAAGGAAAAGAUUAUACUUUUACUGUAAUGUAAUAAAGUAAUUUCGAAACAAACUUUAUUAUCAAAAUACUUUAAUUUUUUAUGGUAUGGAUAGUCCAAAAGCCAGGUGGGAUCCACAGUAAAUACACCUGUUACAUAAGCACUGAUGCAAGCAAAUUAAAGGAUAAAAUGGUUAGACAAACUCAAAAAUAAUUCAGAGGAGCAACAAACUUCUUUCAUUAACUAAUGGAGUUUGGAUCAAUUCAUUCUAAUUACAAAGAUAACCUGAUUGGCCCAAUUAAGUUGCAAGAAACAUCCAUAUUUGAGAUGUGUGCUUAUUAUUUUUCAUUAAUUUCCGACAUCGAAACGGAUAUUUUUUAAAUCCUAAACAUUAAAAGAAGCAUUCUCUAAAAACACACAUCAAAACAAAUAUAACUAUCAUGCAUGAUCACCUUUUAACUCCAAAUCCAUCCAAAAUAAUAUCACACUAACUUAAAAGUUUAAAGUAGUUCGCCCAAAAAUAAACGGACUAAGAUUCUUUAUAUUAAUUCCUCACGUGAAUCUAUAUCUCUUUUUUCAACAAUAAAUAUGGGUUAUUCACCCACAUUCUCUCAUUAAUUCUACUUUUUUUUAUACUUAUUCUAUGUCUCAACAAUCCGGAAAGCCUGUAUAUUCAAUUGAACCAAAUGUUUAUAAAUACAAAAGAGCCAAUUUUCCAAUAUGUUUCCAAGUCUCUUCUACAAGAUGAAAUACAAGAUAUGCUCUUGCCUCCCAAAGACUUUGUCUUCCUUGCAUUGCUUUCCUUACUGUUUUGUGGGCCUUUUUGUUUGAUUGUCUUGCUUGUUGUUUCUUGUGUGUUUGGUUGACCGUUGGACUAAGUUUUGAAGAGCUGUGCAAAUCUUCAUAUACUGUCCCACGAGGUGAAAAUUUACCCCGUGACAAGAGUAUUGUAAAAUAAAAAUAUUAAGAAUUCCAAAAAAUAUCCAGUAUUACAUAACAAAUUAUAUUUGACAAAAAAGAGGGAAAUGAAGAUAGAUAGUUUAAUAAAAUUAAGAUGAUUGUACAAGUAUCACAUGUGUAAUACAUCUUUUUAUCAGUACAUUCUUUAAAAAUGCAUUUUAAGAAUAUCAUAUUUUUUUUUACUUUGUAAUUUAACUUUCUUUGAAUAAGAAAACAAGAAUCAAUCGGUACGAAUUAGAUUAAUUAACUACUCAAGUUGCUCUAUUUUUGCUUACAUGUGGAGUAAAUCUAUACAAAUCAAAUGCACAAUGUAUUCUAGAAACUAUGAUAAGUUACAGGGUGAGUAACAAAUUAUAUAUAUCUAUACACUAUAUGAAUAUAUCUAUAAAUUAUUCUCAUAUCUUAAAUGACGUGUAAAAAUUGUACUACUUUUUUUUAGUAUUGACUUGAUAUAUUUUUUUAAAAAGUAAUACAUAAAAUAAUAUUUUAAUAUAUUAUAUAUGUUUAUUAUUAGUUGAGAAACUAAUUGAAAUAAAAGAACACCUGAGUGACCACAAUUAUUUGCCUCAAAUAUGGCCCCAGAUAUAAAAUAGAUCAUAAUUAUAGUUUCUCCGUCCGAAAUUAUUUGUCAUAUUAUACUUAUCAAAAGUUAAUUUGACUAAUUUUUAAAGGUAAAUUGGAUCACGUUAAUUCGAUAUUUUAAAUAAAAAAAAAUAGGUGUUCUAAAACUUUUAAAAAAAAGUACUAUAAAUUAUAAUUUUUUGCAUAUUAAUAUGAUGAAAAAAUACAUCUUAAAAUGUUUCAAAUAUAAAAUAGAUCAUAAUUAUACUCCUUCCGUCCGGAAUUGUUUGUCAUGUUGCGCUUAUCGAAAGUUAAUUUGACUAAUUUUCAAAAAUAAAUUGGAUCACAUUAAUUCGAUAUUUUAAACAAAAAAAUUAGAUAUUCUAAAACUAUAUAAAAAGUACUAUAAAUUAUAAUUUUUUGCAUAUUAAUAUGAUGAAAAAAUACAUCUUAAAAUGUUCCAAAUAUAAAAUAGAUCAUAAUUAUACUCCCUCUGUCCGGAAUUGUUUGUCAUGUUGCGCUUAUCGAAAGUCAAUUUGAUAAAUUUUCAAAGGUAAAUUGGAUCAAAUUAAUUCGAUAUUUUAAACAAAAAAAAAAUAGAUAUUCUAAAACUAUAUAAAAAGUACUAUAAAUCUAAACUAUAUAAAAAGUACUAUAAAUUAUAGUCCCUCCGUCCAGAAAUAUUUGUCAUGUUGUGCUUACCGAAAGUCAAUUUGACUAAUUUUCAAAGGUAAAUUGGAUCAGAUUAAUUCGAUAUUUUAAACAAAAAAAAUAGAUAUUCUAAAACUAUAUAAAAAGUAUUAUAAAUUAUACUCCCUCCGUCCAGAAAUAUUUGUCUUGUUCUGCUUACUGAAAGUCAAUUUGACUAAUUUUCAAAGGUAAAUUGGAUCACAUUAAUUCGAUAUUUAAAAAAAAAAAUUAGAUAUUCUAAAAGUACUAUAAAUUACAACUUUUUUAUAUUAAUAUGAUGAAAAAUGCAUUUUAAAAUGUUAGUCAAAGUUUUUAUAGUUUGACUCUAAAAAUAGAAACCAUGACAAACAAUACCGAACGGAUGGAGUAAUUUUUUGCAUAUUAAUAUGAUGAAAAAAUACAUCUUUAAAUGUUUCAAAUAUAAAAUAGAUCAUAAUUAUACUUCCUCCGUUCGGAAUUGUUUGUCAUGUUGCGCUUAUCGAAAGUCAAUUUGACUAAUUUUUAAAGGUAAAUUGGAUCACAUUAAUUCGAUAUUUUAAAUAAAAAAAAAAUAGAUAUACUAAAACUAUAUAAAAAGUACUAUAAAUUAUAAUUUUUUGCAUAUUAAUAUGAUGAAUAAAUACAUCUUAAAAUGUUCCAAAUAUAAAAUAGAUCAUAAUUAUAAUCCCUUCGAUCGGAAUUGUUUGUCAUGUUGCGCUUAUCGAAAGUUAAUUUGACUAAUUUUCAAAGGUAAAUUGGAUCACAUUAAUUUGAUAUUUUAAAUAAAAAAAUUAGAUAUUUUAAAACUAUAUAAAAUGUACUAUAAAUUAUAAUUUUUUUGCAUAUUAAUAUGAUGAAAAUAUACAUCUUAAAAUGUUAGUCAAAAUUUUUAUAAUUUGACUGUAAAAAUAGAAACCAAUGACAAACAAUAUCGGAGGGAGAGAGUAACAUUUUCUUUUCAAAGCAAAGUCUUUGUUAGUAUUUGAGUUGAUUUAUUUUUAGUUUUUUUAAAAUGAUCUGAAAAGUGUAAAAAGUUAAAGAGUUAAAAAAUGAGCGUUUUCUUUUAAAAAGAGUUAAUUCAAACAUCGAUAAGUUGACAAAUAGACUCUUUGGAUUCCACCUAUCGAAGCAUUUUACGGCCUCGUACCUUCUUCACUCCUUUAUUCUUCUUCUUCAAUUUUUUCUAGUUUAAGAGCACGAUGUCAUGACCUGCCAUAUCAAUUAUCAUCAUGUCAUUUAGGCGUUACGUGGGAUAAAGUUAUCUAUGUGAAAGCUUAAAUAGAAAAAAAAAAAAAAACUAGUUAAUUAGUGUAAGCUUCCUCCACAUUUCUUGAUUUACGAGAUUUAAUCUAAGAUUAUUUGUCUAAAACAAAAAGACUUCAAUUAAGAUUUCAAAUAUUUGAGAUUAUUUCAAUAGGUUUAACAUAAAACUCCAACUCUGAACCUAUUGUUUUAUAUUAUUUGGCUCUCAUUGAUGCGAAUUAGGAGUGGAAGUCUAUAAAUUGUGAUUUCAAUAUUUUCGAAUGUCGAUACUUAAUAUUUUUACCAAAGGUAGCAAAAAAAAAAAGAAGAAAGAAAUUGCUUUUAAUUUUUAAAAUUAGAGAAGCAAAAUGAAAUAUUUAAUCUCUUUAAUUUUUAAAAUUGGACGAGUAAAACGAAAUAUUUAAUUUUAUAAAACACGGCUUAUAAUUUGCCCAUAUAUAAAACCUGUUCAAUUUGCACAUGUCGAUUUCUAAUUAAUGUAAUUGUUUAAGGAUAAUUAAGAUGGGUGUUGUUACCUUAUUAUAACUCAUUUGAAUGUUAGGUCAGCUUAGAUUACAAAAUUAAAGGACAAAUGAAUGAUUUUUAAUGUAUCGUAUAUUUUUAUUAUGUAUUUGGAAUAAAUUAUUUCUUAAUAGAUCAAUUGCAUAGCAAAGAACAAACUACGAGGAAAAAGAAUCGUGAUGGAAAAGAUUGAUUUAAACAUGUUUACAUUUAACUUUAUUUGAUUCAUUUGUCAAUCCUUUAUUCUAUUUAAAUUUGUCUAUUCAAUCUAUUCAUUUGAUGCUCUAAAAUUUUUGAUACAGUAGAAAAUUUAAAAUUGAUUGAAGUUAUUCUAUCUAGUUGGCUGUGUUUUUAUGACUUAUAUAACAUGAGAUAAAAACCUAGCUUUAAUUAUUGUGCUGACUUUCAGAACAAGUUGUAAUUUAAAAGUUCUCACUGAGGAACUAUUUAUUUGCACACUUUUGAGUUUUGCUGGCAUUUAUUUUUUAUGUAUAUAUAUUUCGAAUUAGAAUUUUAUGUAUAAAUAUUUAUUCAAGCAUGUUAGUCAAGUUGCCGACUUAAAGUAACAAAUUUGGGUCGCUAUUUGUCACCAUUUGAUCAAAAUGUUGAAAGUUUAGACGACUAAAUAUAUUAUUAUUUCAUAUAUAUUUUUAAGGUUUAAGGAAACUUUUUGUUACUAUUUUUUGUACACCAAGCAAACAUGUGUGCCAACUGAGAAUCGUUAUUUGAUUUUGUAAUCGUUUAUAAAUACUUUUCUCACGUUAUAUUAAUACCAAAAAUAUGUAAAAACAGCACAAGAUUCAUAAGGGCAUAGUAAUUUUUUUUUUUUUUAAAAAAAUCUAACUGUAAGUGGGAAUGAAUAAUAAUAUCAUAACGAUUCUCGUCAUUUAUGGCAUAAUACUUUUUCAUAACAGGAACAUGUCGAAGGAAUUCAUAGAACUAAAGCACCAUAUAAAUAAUAUCCAUUAGAAUAGAGUGAGACCACCACUUCUGUUGGUUUCCUAUCAUUAGUCCGGUACCUGUGUGCCUGAUUAAUUCAGAUUUGCACUGAAAAGUCUUUCUUUAAUAGCGAGCUUAGUUAAUUUACAUUCACACGAAUGCGAUUUCAUUUUUCAUUGCUCAAAACUCAAAAAAUCUGAUUAAAAAUAAUGGAUUACCACCUUUGGUGGUAUGUAGUCUGCCAACUCAUCUUCUGGGAAUAGAUAACUCAUACUAUAAAUAAAAUAAUAAUUUAUCAUUUUGAUAUUGGACUCUCCUGCCCAACUUGCAAGUAUUUUUAUUUUAGAAAGUUGGCUCGUGACUAUCCCUUGGACCCUUUUCAAUGCGCGUUCGGUACACAAACUUGUCAUUCUUACUUGUUACAUUAUCAUCUUUCAUUCUUUUCAAUUUAUUUUUUUAUUCAUCUUUUUUGGUUUGAUUAUUAGAGUAAUGAUUCUCUUCAUUCAUGACUUUUAAGUACCUUCCCACUAAUACACUUGCACGAAAAAAAGAAGUGACUAUUGAAAGUAUUUGAAACGUGCACCCAAAGAGAGUGGUCGAGAGCCUUUUAGGUUUGAGUUCAAAUCUCAGCAAGACGAAAAAAAAAACACUAGGUAAUCUUUUCAUCUGUUCUAACCUUGGUGGACAUAGUUACGUGGUACCUAUUGCUGGUGGGAGGUAGGAGGUAUCAUGUGGAAUUAGUCAAGGUGCGUGAAAGUUGGCAUAGACAUCACCAUCAUAAGAAAAAUAAGUAUUUGAAACCUAUACAAAACCAUUAGUUACAGCCUAUUGGCACUUUAUCAAGUACAUGGUUCAUCUAACAAUUUAAGUUGUCUCAAAGUGAAGUUACCCCUUCCAUCACAAUUCUCUCUUUAUUCAGAAACCACUUCCCCUUUCAAGAAAAGAGCAAACUGAACUUAACUUCUAGGAUACUUGUGUGAUCUGUCCAUGUGCUACUUCUAGAACAGAAGGGAAAAAAACAGUUGGCUCAAUGUAAUGUGAAUGCACAAUUUGAGUUUACGAUCUAUUAGGUGGUCAGAAAGCUUUGACAUUUUUUAUGUACUCCUAGGUUUCGAGUAGGUGACGAAGUUCGUGUUGUCUUUUCUUGUGUGGGGGUACAUGCAACUUGUUUUUUAACACGGGGCAUCCUAGAUUAGAGGCAUGCUUGGUAUUUUGUAACAAAUUCAUAGAAUGCAAGUCAUUUUCCGUAAGUGUGAACGGAUGACUAGUUGACUGCUACUGAAAGCAGUGAUUCACUGAAAUAUUUGCUAUGAAAUGUGUAUAAAGGCUUCAUUGUCAGCAUAAGUUUUUUCAGUGAGUGAAGUUUUCUUUCUUUUGAAAUGAUGAUGUUAAAGACAGUUGUAUAUGCAUUAGCCAUAUUUUCUAUUACCUUUCUCAUACCUUUGUCAUCUGGGCAAAAUCCAAGAUUUGAAGUUGAAGUUGCUGCUUUGAAAGCUUUCAAGAGCUCAAUCUCUGACGACCCUUUCAGUGCACUUGUGGAUUGGACUGAUGUAAAUCACCAUUGCAACUGGUCUGGAAUCAUAUGUGAUCCUUCUUCAAAUCAUGUCAUCAACAUUUCACUUAUUGAGACACAGCUCAAAGGAGAAAUUUCUCCGUUUCUAGGAAACCUCUCCAAACUCCAGGUUCUUGAUCUAACUUUGAAUUCAUUUACUGGAAAUAUUCCACCCCAGCUGGGUCAUUGCACGGACCUGGUUGAGCUCGUUUUUUACCAAAACUCUCUUUUUGGUGAAAUUCCUGCCGAGCUGGGAAACCUAAAAAAACUGCAGUUAAUAGAUUUUGGAAAUAACUUUCUAAAUGGGAGUAUACCUGAUAGUAUAUGCAACUGCACUGAAUUGUUGUUAGUAGGCUUCAACAACAACAAUUUCACAGGCAAAUUACCAUCUGAAAUUGGUAAUUUGGCUAAUCUUCAGUUGUUUGUAGCUUAUACAAACAAUUUGGUUGGUUUUAUGCCUACCUCCAUUGGAAUGCUGACAGCUUUGCAUACCCUUGAUCUGAGCGAAAACCAGUUAUCUGGACCUAUACCACCAGAAAUUGGCAACUUGUCAAGUUUAGGAAUUCUUCAGUUACAUCUCAACUCUCUUUCUGGGAAAAUCCCAUCUGAACUUGGCCUCUGUAUCAAUCUUUUUACCUUGAACAUGUAUACUAAUCAAUUUACUGGAAGCAUACCUCCUGAGCUUGGAAAUUUAGAAAACUUGCAAAUGCUCAGAUUGUAUAACAAUAAGUUGAACUCCAGUAUACCUGCCUCAAUAUUCCACCUGAAGUCAUUAACUCAUUUAGGACUCUCACAGAAUGAGCUAACUGGGAAUAUUCCUCCCCAGUUGGGAUCUUUAACGUCACUAGAAGUGCUUACCCUUCACUCCAAUAAGUUAUCCGGGGAGAUCCCAUCAACUAUAACAAACCUGGCAAACUUGACAUAUUUGUCUUUGGGUUUUAAUUUAUUGACUGGAUCACUUCCAUCGGAAUUUGGGUUACUCUAUAAUCUGAAGAAUCUAACUGCAAAUAAUAACCUCCUGGAAGGAUCUAUUCCAUUGAGCAUAAUAAAUUGUUCUCAUCUUCUAGUUUUAUCCCUCACUUUUAAUAGAAUAACGGGGGAAAUACCAAAUGGGUUGGGGCAGUUAUCCAAUCUUACAUUUUUGUCUUUGGGAUCAAACAAAAUGAUGGGGGAGAUUCCUGAUGAUCUCUUCAACAGUUCAAUGCUUGAAGUUCUAGAUCUGAGUGAUAACAAUUUCAGCGGAAAACUCAAACCAAUGAUUGGCAGACUCGCUAAACUUCGAGUUUUAAGAGCCCAUAGUAAUUCAUUUCUUGGGCCAAUCCCACCAGAGAUUGGUAAACUGAGUCAACUGCUGGAUUUAGCACUUCACAAAAACAGUUUCUCAGGUGCCAUUCCACCAGAAAUUUCAAUGCUUUCAAACCUUCAGGGUCUUUUGCUAUCUGACAACAAGCUAGAAGGUGAACUUCCUGUGCAACUUUUUGAGCUCAAACAGCUCAAUGAACUCCGGCUGAAGAACAAUAAUUUCUUUGGUCCAAUACCGCAUCAUAUAUCCAAACUAGAAUCACUGUCGCUCAUGGAUCUGAGUGGAAAUAAGCUUAAUGGCACAAUCCCAGAGAGCAUGACGAGCCUCCGCAGAUUGAUGACAGUAGAUCUUUCACACAACCUUCUUACCGGAACUCUUCCUAGAGCAGUACUUGCCAGCAUGAGAAGUAUGCAACUUUACUUGAACGUUUCCAGCAACUUGUUGCACGGAGAGAUCCCAGAUGAGAUAGGCGUGUUAGAAAUGGUUCAAGAGAUUGACAUGUCAAAUAAUAAUCUGUCAGGCAGCAUUCCCAGAUCCCUAGAACGCUGCAAAAACUUAUUUUCACUGGACCUAUCAGGAAAUAUGCUCUCUGGUCCUGCUCCAGGUGAAAUUCUCACCAAAUUAAGUGAGCUUGUGUUCUUGAACCUCUCAAGGAACAGAUUAGAAGGCAGUCUUCCUGAAAUAGCAGGAUUAUCACAUCUUAGCUCUCUUGAUGUUUCACAAAACAAGUUCAAGGGAAUUAUCCCCGAGAGAUUUGCCAAUAUGACUGCAUUGAAAUAUCUCAACCUUUCUUUCAACCAACUUGAAGGUCACAUUCCAAAGGGGGGUGUAUUCAACAAUAUAAGGUUGGAGGAUUUACUGGGAAAUCCAUCUCUAUGUGGAAAAAAGUUUCUCAGUCCAUGCCACAUAAAAAGAAACCGAACAAGUUCUCAUGGUUUUUCCAAGAAAACCUGGAUCAUACUUGCAGCACUUGGAUCUGUUUUCAGUCUCAUUCUUCUUGUCCUGGGAAUAUUUUUAUUUCAUCGGUACAUGAAGAAGAAAAAAGUGAAUGACACGGAGUUUACAAAUCCAAAGUGUACCGCAGCACUGAGCCUCCAGAGAUUUUAUCAAAAGGAUUUGGAACAUGCUACCAAUAAUUUCCGUCCGGAAAACAUUAUUGGAGCCAGCAGUUUAAGUACUGUGUACAAAGGAACACUGGAAGAUGGGAAGAUUGUAGCAGUUAAGAAGCUGAAUCACCAGUUCUCAGCAGAAUCUGGUAAAUGUUUUGAUAGGGAAGUCAAGACUCUGAGCCAACUCAGACACAGGAACCUAGUUAAGGUGCUAGGUUACGCUUGGGAAAGCAAGAAGCUAAGGGCUUUAGUUUUAGAAUACAUGGAGAAUGGGAACUUGGACAACAUGAUUUAUGGUCAAGUAGAGGAUGACUGGACGUUGUCCAACAGGAUUGAUAUUUUAGUUUCAGUUGCAAGUGGACUAUCAUACCUGCAUUCAGGCUAUGAUUUUCCAAUAGUGCACUGUGACAUGAAGCCUUCAAACAUUCUUCUGGACAAAAAUAUGGAAGCACAUGUGAGUGACUUUGGGACGGCUAGGAUGUUGGGUAUUCAUCUCCAGGAUGGGAGCAGCACAUCAUCAGCAUCCGCAUUUGAAGGAACUAUUGGUUACAUGGCGCCAGGUAAUAAUUCUUACAACUUCUUGACCCACACUUUACUUGCUAGAUUAUGUGUUACAAUAACAUGAAUACUAGAUAUCUAUAAUGUAAACGAGCUUAUAUGGGUACCACAAAUAAUAUUUUGUCAAUGGUAAAUGCUUCAAAUACAUUCAAUUUUAGCAUCAUUCAAUAGUAACAUCACUUCUGUCAAUCACAAGACGCAGCACAGCAGAUUUUUUUUCCCUUUCAAUCACAAAAUGCUGAUUUAACUUGUAUAUGGAAGAAUCGACAAGCAAGUAAAUGAUGCAAUGUUUUGGACAUAUAAUCUGUAAAGUACUUUUUAAAAUGAUAAUGUCAGCUUUAAUCUAUCCAAAAAUGCCAGCGCCAUGUUUGAAAAUUUGAAUUUCUUGGACAUUUUACAUGCUCCUAAUUUCAUUUGAGACCUCACUUACAUGAAAUGUUAUCUGUGAACAGAGCUUGCAUAUAUGAGGAAAGUGACCACAAAAGUAGAUGUAUUCAGCUUUGGUGUAAUUGUGAUGGAGAUCAUUACAAAAAGAAGGCCAACAAGUCUUACAGGAGCAGAUGAAUUACCAAUUACUUUGCAUCAAAUUGUUCAGAAUGCCCUUGCGAAUGGCAUAAACAAGCUAGUUCAGAUUGUGGAUCCUAAUCUAGCUUCAUAUGUCUCCAAGAAACAGGAUGUAGUAGAGGGACUUCUUAACUUGGCUUUGUCCUGCACCUCUCCUGAUCCUGAAGAUAGACCUGACAUGGAACAAGUUCUGUCUUCUCUUUCAAAGCUAAGUAAGAUGGACUGUAUGCCUUCUCAUUUGGUAAAAGAUUAAAUUUGAUGUAGAAGAAGCUGGAAUAUCAUCACUCUUAAUGUGAACCACCACCAAGUUUCCCAUGGUGGCUAAUGGAACUAGUUCAUAACUUAAAAUGCAUUUACUAUUUAAAUAAUUUUUCCGUAUUUCAAGCCAUAAAUGAUGAUCGCUCGAGUAUUCCUGCUUUAAGAUAUAAUGAUACUGUCCCGUCAGAUUAUGUUGAAGUUGACAUGCAUCAUGAAAUUGAACAACAUAUUCAACAAUACUUCAUAUUAAUCACAACUAAGGAGCAAAAAGCUAGAUCUUUACGAAGUCCUCUAGUGACAUGUAAUAGAACUAGUGAGCAAGCAGUUGAUUGCAAACCAAAGUGCUAAUGUAGUCUGUCACUAAAGAUUAACUACAGCAAAUGAGUACACUUAUGAACAACACAAAUAUACAGAAGUGAAACUGAGGAAAACUCAAUAAAGGCUUUAAUAAGCCUACAGUCAUCCAUCAUAUUUUACCUUGAAAUUUAUUUACAAGAGAGGGAAGACGCGAUCUCAUCUAUUGGUGGAUCAUUUUGCAAGAACUCAACAAUGGUAGAGGGGAACUCAAAGCUUCCAAUACCUUCAGAAACCUCUGAAUGAAUAAGAGCAGCUUUGCCUAAAAGCAGAUGAGCUAACCUAAAUGAUUCUCUUCUCUCUCCAUUACUCCUAUCCAGAAAAUGCUCAAUCCAACCUUCUAAUCUCUCCACUUCUUUUUCACUUUUUGGCCCUUUAACCCCAACAAUCUUUCCAUAAAAUGCAUCAUCACAACCCAAAUCCACUUCCACACUUUUCGAUCCUCCCCUUUUACUGUCCGAUAAACCCAAUAACUGCAUCAACAGUUCAAUGUCAUCAACCCCAUUACCACUAGUUUCAACUAUACCAACUCUUUCUUGAACUUGCGUAGGGUUUAUCUGAGGUGGGGUUUCUUGGGCAAGAGGGGAAUUAGAGAGAAAUCGAAGUGGGGUUUCACUUUCUUUGAGGUUUGUGUAGCUGGUGAUGGAGUCAACAUGGUUCUCACUCUCAUCACAGUUAAGGUAUAAUGGGCUGAUCAACGACUGGGUCGGUGUGUCGACGGCUUCUUGUUGUGUUGGUUCGUCAAGUUUCAAUCUUUUCUCCAAUUGUUUGAGAGAAGAGAAGAAAUUUGAGUGUGGAGAAGGUCUUUGCAUUUUUGGGAGAAAAAUCAGAAUCAAUUGGGGGUUUAGGGUUUUAGCUGUUGCCUGUGAGUGAAGGACAGAUUAUUUAAGAAAAAAAAGAGCGCCAAUUGGUGAGAUAAAACAGUUGAAUAUUUAGGGUCUAAUAUUAGAGUUGAUAAUUUUCCUCAUUAUUUAUUUUAUUAUAUCCAAGAAAUUAGUUUCCUCACAUUGAAAAAUUAUGAGUAUAAACAAAUAUAUACUAGUUAAUUACUUAACAUAGUUAUAAUUAGCUUUAAUUACAAUUCGCGUUCUAUUUUUAGAUAUAUUACGCGGUUCAGCUUUUUUGUUUUGUAUACCAUUUUUUAUGUUUGUAAUUGUAUCAAUUCGUUAUUUUUGAGUUUUACACAAGUGUAUCUGUAAAUUAUACAAAUCAACGAAUUAUACAAACGAGACAAUUUAAAUAUAACUAUAAGCCAUAAAUAUACAAAUUAUAACUAUAAAACAUAAUUAUAUUUAUUAUAGUGACUAUUUAAUCUCUCGAUUUAUUUUUUGAGAACAAUAAAGGAUUGAAUAAUAUGUGUUAGUUGUUUUUUGUGAACAUGGAUAGUCCAAGUAGCCAAACUGUUGGGCCUAUGGUACGAAACUAAAGGGACAAUUAAUCAAAAUGGCCAUUUGGUGAUAAUUCUCUCUUCCAGUAUCUUCGAAGUUCAAAUUUUUAAAAAAUUAAUAUGCCGCAAAUGUGAAACACUUUGAAUAAAUAGUAUAUCAAAAGACUCAAAAGAUUGAAACAAAUUUAUAUCUAAAAUUUGAGAUUGUUUAGAGGGAGGUUUGAAUCGGUUGAAAUUGAGAAAAAAAAAUGGUCUGCAAUAUAUAUCAACAAUGUAUAUAGUCAUAUAUAUGUAUACAUAUCUCUUAUAAAUAGUUAUAUAUCAUUUAUACACGGGUAUAUCCAUUUAUAAAAUAUCGAUACCUACAUAUACUGCUAAUUUCAGGUUAUUAGUUAAUGUAAAGGCAUAAUGCCCAAGUACCCCUCAACCUAUGCCCGAAAUCUCAGAGACACACUUAUACUAUACUAAGGUCCUAUUACCCCAUGAACUUAUUUUAUUAAUAAUUUUUUACCCCUUUUAGCCUAUGUGGCACUAUCUUGUGGGCCCAAUGAUGGUUGACUUUUUUUUUAAAAACUAGUGCCACGUAAGCUAAAAAGGGGUAAAAAAUUACUUAUAAAAUAAGUUCAGGAGGUAAUAGGACCUUAGUAUAGUAUAAAUGUGUCUCUGGGAUUUCGGACAUAGGUUGAGGGGUACUUUGUGCAUUUUCCCUAAUGUAAAUGAAAACUUGCUAUAUUUGAAACUACUUUUCAUUUUACCCAUAAUUAAAAAUAUGAAAAAAGAAAAGAAUUCGUAGGAUUUAUUAGAUCCGCUUGCACCUAUCUUGAUUUAUCACUCAUUUCGAUCUAAGUAAUCUCUGGACGAAAUAUAUCAUAAUUCUUUCAUCCUCUUUUUAACCUUCUAAUAACUCAUCCUGUUCAUUUGAAGCUGCUAAUAAUUUUAUUCCAAUUUAAAAUUGCCUAAAGUUGUUCCUCUCACUAUGCUUAUUUAAUUUCUUUGGGUAAAUAGCAAUUUAAUCCUUAGGUUAUUGCAUUAUUCUAAAUUUUAGUCCUUAUAUUAUUCAUUUGAGCACAAUCAACUUUUGAUUAGUUAAAACAGUUUUUUAAAUUAACAAAAGCUAAAAAGUUAAGUAAAUUAUUUUUUUUAAAAAUUGAAGGUUCAAAUACCAUAUUUUUAAUUAACUAAAGAUUGAAUAUGCUCAGUAGUAUAACACAGGAUUAAAAUCGAUAUUCAAACCUACUCAAGCUAAUGAUAUCUAUUAGUAGCAAUAUUGAUGGAGAUUUGGCGACUCAUAACAUGAGACUAUAAUUGGCGUGUGGACUACAAAUCAAGUUAUGAUUAGUCAAGUUUAUUUAUUUUUUCAAAUAAAACCUACUUAUUUGUAUACUUUUUGCCACAUUCAUCUCAUAGAGGUCAGAUAAAAAUUGUGUGUACAUAAUUUAUUCAAACAUGUUGACAACUAAAAAAUUGAUUAAUUUAGGUGGCUGUUGUCUCUCUUUGACCUAAUGUUCAAAGUAUACACGAGUGAAUGACCAAGGAUUAAAUAUAUUUAAACAUUUAUUACUAGUUCCUAUAGAAGGUUUAGGUAGGUUAAGUGUUAAUCACCUAUGAUUUCAUUUUGAAUAAUAGUUUCAGGAUUAGGACUUUAUAAUAUUCAAUCUAUUAGGAAAAAAAUCGAAUCUAAGAUUUCUAUUUUAAAGAAAGGGAGGGAUAAAUACAUAUAUAAAGUGAUAAUUGAUCCUUGGGCGAUUUACUCAGCAUAUACUAUUUAGCCUUAUUGGAGACCGAGUGUGAACAGAUAGUAUUAGAUCAAUCUAGAAAAUAUGUACCUAUAAACGACUAGUUUGAUGAAAAGAACAUAGGUUCACGUGCACCAUAAACUACACUAUAAAUUCACCUCUGAUUAGGAAACGAACACCGCUGAAUGUCAUCUUUCAGCUUGUCUAACUCUCCUGCUUCUCUAGAAGCUAGAAAAGAAACAACUGGAAUGAAUUUGUACAAUAUUUCUACUCCAAAUGGCAGUUCUAGAAAAAAAAACAGUUGACUUGAUGUAAUGUGAAUGCACUCAAUUUUCUAUUAACAGGACUAGUUUUUGUAGGAAUUUUGACAACUUCAUAGAAUACAAGAUUUUACUUUAGUUUUGAUGAUUAGUUGACUUCUUCAACAGAAAACAGUGAGCAAAUAUCAUUAAAAAAUGUAUAAACUAUUCAUUUUCAGCUUAAGUUUGUAAAGAGAGUGAAACUUCUUUCUUUUGAACCAAUGAUGUCAAAGACAAAUGUAUAUGCAUUAGCCAUUUCUUUUAGUACCUUUUUCAUAGCUUUGUCCUUUGGGCAAACUCCAAGUUUGGAAGUAGAAGUUGCUGCUUUGAAUGCCUUUAAGAAUUCAGUCACUGAUGACCCUUUUGGUGCACUUGUGGAUUGGACUGAUGCAAAUCACAUUUGCAACUGGUCAGGAAUCAUAUGUGAUCCUUCUUCAAACCAUGUCAUCAACAUCUCGCUUGUUGGGAUGCAUCUCAAAGGCGAGAUUUCUCCGUUUCUAGGGAACCUCUCCAAACUCCAGGUUCUUGAUCUAACUUUGAAUUCAUUUACUGGAAAUGUCCCAGCCAAGCUGGGGCAUUGCACUGAGCUGGUUCAGCUCAUUCUUUACCGAAACUUUCUUUCUGGUGAAAUUCCAGCCGAGCUAGGAAACCUCAAAAAUCUGCAAUUAUUAGAUUUUGGAAAUAACUCACUGAGUGGGAGAAUACCUGAGAGUAUAUGCAACUGCACUGAAUUGUUGUUCGUAAGCCUCAUCAACAACAGCCUCACAGGCAAAUUACCGUCUGAAAUUGGUAAUUUGGCCAAUCUUCAAUUGUUAGAAGCUUAUAGAAACAAUUUGGUUGGUUCUAUUCCUACCUCCAUUGGAAUGCUGACAGCACUGCAAACCCUUGAUCUGAGCUCAAACCAGUUUUCUGGACCUAUACCACCAGAAAUUGGCAACUUGUCAAGUUUAGAAAUUCUUCAGUUGCAUCACAACUUUCUUUCUGGGAAAAUCCCAUCUGAACUUGGCCUCUGUAUCAAUCUUGUUACCUUGGACAUGUAUAAUAACCAAUUCACUGGAGGCGUACCUCCUGAGCUUGGGAAUUUAGAAAACCUGCACAGGCUCAGAUUGUAUAACAAUAAGUUGAACUCCAGUAUACCUGCCUCAUUGUUCCAUUUGAAGUCAUUAACUCAUUUAGGACUCUCACAUAAUGAGCAAACUGGUAAAAUUCCUCCUGAGUUUGGAUCUUUAAUGUCACUACAAGUGCUUACCCUCCACUCAAAUAGGUUGUAUGGGGAGAUUCCAUCAACUUUGACAAACCUGGCAAACUUGACAUAUUUGUCUUUGAGCUUUAAUUUAUUCACAGGAUCACUUCCACCGGAACUUGGGUUACUCUAUAAUCUGAAGAAUCUAACUGCAAGUGAUAACCUCCUAGAGGGACCUAUUCCAUCUAGCAUAACAAAUUGUUCUCAUCUUCGUGUUUUAACCCUCACUUUUAAUAGAAUAACAGGUAAAAUACCAAAUGGGUUGGGGAAGUUGUCCAAUCUUACAUUUUUGUCUUUGGGAUCAAACAAAAUGUGGGGGGAGAUUCCUGAUGAUCUCUUCAACUGUUCAAUGCUUGAAGUUCUAGAUCUGAGUGGUAAUAAUUUUAGUGGGAAGCUCAAACCGAUGAUUGGCGGACUCUCUAAACUUCGAGUUCUAAGAGCCCAUAGUAAUUCAUUUCUUGGGCCAAUCCCACCAGAGAUUGGUAAAUUGAGUCAACUGAUAGAUUUAGUGCUUCACAAAAACAGUUUCUCAGGUGUGAUAUCUCCAGAAGUUUCAAAGCUUUCAAACCUCCAGGGCCUUUCUUUGUCAGACAAUAAGCUGGAAGGUGAACUUCCUGUGCAACUUUUUGAGCUUACACGCCUCUAUGAACUCCUGCUGCAGAACAAUAAUUUCUUCGGUCCAAUACCCAAUCAGAUAUCCAAACUAGAAUUGCUUUCGCUUUUGGACCUGAGUGGAAAUAAGCUGAACGGUACAAUCCCAGAGAGCAUGGAGAGCCUCCACAGACUGAUGACCUUAGACAUUUCACACAACCUUCUAACCGGAACUUUUCCCAGAGUAGUACUAGCCAGCAUGAGAAGCAUGCAGUUUUACUUGAACUUUUCCAGUAACUUGUUGGAUGGAGAGGUCCCAUUUGAGAUUGGCAUGUUAGAAAUGGUUCAAGGGAUUGAUAUGUCAAACAACAAUCUAUCAGGCAACAUUCCCAGAUCCCUAGGACGCUGCAAAAACUUAUUCUCACUGGACCUGUCAGGAAACAUGCUGUCUGGUCCUGCUCCAGGCGAAAUUCUGACCAAGUUAAGUGAGCUAGUAUUCUUGAACCUCUCAAGGAACAGAUUAGAAGGCAAACUUCCUGAAAUGGUAGGAUUGCUACAUCUUCGCUCACUUGAUCUUUCACAAAACAAGUUCAAGGGAAUCAUUCCUGAGAGAUUUGCCAAUAUGCCUGCAUUAAUAUAUCUCAACCUUUCUUUUAACCAGCUUGAAGGUCACAUUCCAAAGGGGGGUGUAUUCGACAACUUAAGGUCAGCAGAUUUACAGGGAAAUCCAUCGCUAUGUGGAACGGAGUUUCUCAGUCCAUGCAGCAUCAAAAGAAACCAAACAAGUUCUCAUGGGUUGUCCAAGAAAACCUGGAUCAUACUUGGGCCUGUUUUGGUUCUCAUUCUUCAUGUGGUGGGAAUAUUUGUGUGUCAUCUGUACAUGAAGAAGCAAAAAGUGAAAGACUCGGAGGAUAUAAUUCCAAAUUAUACCUCAGCACUUAGCCUCCAGAGAUUUUAUCAAAAGGAUUUGGAACAUGCUACUGAUAAUUUCAGUCCACAAAACAUUAUUGGAGCCAGCAGUUCAAGUAAUGUGUACAAAGGAACACUGGAAGGUGGGAAAAUUGUAGCAGUUAAGAAACUGAAUCUUCAGUUCUCAGCAGAAAUUCGUAAAUGCUUUGAUAGGGAAGUCAAGACUCUGAGCCAACUCAAACACAGGAACCUGGUUAAGGUGCUCGGUUAUGCUUGGGAAAGCAAGAAGCUAAUGGCUGUAAUUUUAGAAUACAUGGAGAAUGGGAACUUGGACAGUUUUAUUUAUGGUCAAAUGGCGGAUGACUGGACAUUGUCCAAUAGGAUUGACAUUUUAGUUUCAGUAGCAAGUGGGCUAUCAUACCUGCAUUCAGGAUAUGAUUUUCCAAUAGUGCACUGUGACUUGAAGCCUUCAAAUAUUCUUCUGGAUAAAAAUAUGGAAGCACAUGUGAGUGACUUUGGGACAGCUAGGAUGUUGGGCAUUCAUCACCAAGACGGGAGCAGCAUAUCAUCAGCAUCUGCAUUUGAAGGAACUAUUGGUUACAUGGCGCCAGGUAAUAAUUAUUACAACAUCACUUCUGUAAAUCAUAAUACACAGCUUAGCAGAUUUUCUUUCCCUGUCAAAUCACAAAAUAAUGAUUAACUUGUAUGUGGAAGAAUGGACAAGCAUGUAAGUGAUCCAAUGUUUUGAACAUAUAAUCUGAAAAUGUAUUUUCUUAAUGAUAAUACAACCUUUAGUCUAACCAGAAAAUGCUAGUGCCAGCUUUAGAAUGUUGAAUUAUUUGGACAUUUUACACGCUCCUUAUUUAAUUUGAGACCUAACUUAAACGAAAUGUUUCUCUUUGAAACAGAGUUUGCAUAUAUGAGGAGAGUGACCACAAAAGUAGAUGUAUUCAGCUUUGGUGUAAUCGUGAUGGAGAUCAUUACAAAAAGAAGGCCAACAAGUCUAACAGGUGCAGAUGAAUUACCAAUGACUUUGAACCAAAUUGUUCAGAAUGCCCUUGCAAAUGGCAUAAACAAUCUGGUCCAGAUUGUGGAUCCGAAUUUAGCUUCACAUGUCUCCGAGAACCAAGAGGUAGUAGAGGGACUUCUUAACUUGGCUUUAUACUGCACCUAUCCGGAUCCCGAUGAUAGACCUGACAUGGAACAAGUUUUGUCUUCUCUUUCAAAGCUAAGUAAGAUGGUGAUCAUGCAUUCACAAGCUUGUUUGGUAAAAUAUUAAAUUUUUGAUGUAGAAGCUGGAGUAUCAUCAUUCUUAAUAUGAACCACCACCAAGUUUCCCUCGGUGGCCAAUGGAACUAGUCCAAAACUCAAAAUGUAAUUACGAUUUAAAUAGAAUUUAUGUUUUUCAAGCCAUAAAUGAUCUAUCAAGUAUUUCUGCUUUACUAGAGGGAUAUAAUUGAACUCUCACAUUAGAUUAAAUUAAAGUUGACUUGCAUCAUGAAAUUUGAACAACAUAUUGAUGACUACUUCACAUUAAUUACAACUAAGGAUCAAAAAGCUCGAUCUUUACGAAGUACUCCAGUUAUGACAUGUAAUAGAAUCAGCGAGCGGUUAAUUGCUAGACCAAAGUGCAAAUGCAUUCUGUCACUAAAGAUUGUCCACAGGAUAGCAGGAAAUCAGUUAUACUUUUGAAUAUAUACAAGUGAAAUUGAGAGAAAACUCAAAAAGACGCCUUAAUAAGACUACAGUGAUCCAUCGCAUUCUAAAAAUUUAUUUAGUAGAGAGGGGAAAAGCAACCUCAUCUAUUGGUGGAUCAUUAUGCAAGAACUCAUCAAUGGCAGAGGGAAACUCAAAGCUUCCAACACCUUCACAAACCUCUCCAUUUCUUUUUCACUUUUUGGACCCUGAACCCCAACAAUGUUUCCAUAAAAUGCAUCAUCACAGCCAAAAUCCACUUCCACCCUUUUGGGUCCUUCCCUUUCACUCUCCGAAAACCCAAUAGCUGCAUCAUCAGUUCAAUCUCAUCAACCCCAUUACCACCAGCUUCAACUAUACCAACACUUUCUUGGGCAAGUGAGGAAUUUGAGAGAAAUUGAAGUGGGCCUUCACUUUUUUUGAGGUUUGUGGAUCUGGUGAUGGAGUCAGCAGGGGUCUCAUCACAGUUGAGGUAUAAUCGGCUGAUCAAAGACUGGGUUGGUGUCUCGACAGCUUCACGUUUAGAUGAAUCAUCAAGUUUCAAUCUUUUCUCCAAUUGUUUGAGAGAUGAGAAGAAAUUGGAAUGUGGAGAAGGUCUUUGAAUUAUUUUUUUGGUGAAUCAGAAUUUGAAUUGGGUUUUAGGGUUUUAGUUGUUGAAGGUUGAAGAAAUGGAAAGGAAAAAGAGCGCCAACUGCUGCAAAGGACAAUUUAAUCACUUCUGUUUGAAAUUUUAGGCCGAUUUGGGAUUUUUUGGUAUGUUAUUUUAAGGUAUUUUCUGAAUAAAGAGCUUUGAUAUCCAGGGUUAGAUCCAGAGUUUCAGGUACGAGUUUACGAGAACCAAAUAACUUUUGCUUAUGUACUGUAUAUGUCUUAAAAAUCUUAUUGUGAAUAGAAUUUACUCUAGGAUGAUCUAGCAAUACAAUUGACUUCCCUUGUGUACAUUUAUAGCUUGGAUCAUAUAGUUGCUAAUAAUAGUUUCCGAAAAAUGGAACAGGGAGAAAACAUAGCUGCUGAAGUUUUGUGGAAAGUGUGUUCAUUUGUUUGAGUAAAACCAGUGCAGUACAAAUGCUGAUAAGAGUAUGUAAAAUAUAUUCAGAAAGGAGAAAAAAGGCAUGUGUGACUUAACCACAUGGGUAUAACAUUGACGGUAUAGACAAAAUGAUUUCUUAGAUGAUCACUCAACUAAUAUAAUAACCAUUAUCUCAUAAAGUCACUGUAUUCUUGAUUUUAAUUUUCAUUUUAACAAAGAUAAUAACUAUGAGUUGAGUGACUCUCUGAAGAAAACCAAAUUGCAGCAGAAUUAUCUGUUCUUCAACUGGUGGAUCACAAUUUGAUAGCAUUAGUGCAUUAUGCUCUGAAAAAUCUAGCCCAAAUUUAGAUUUCCCUAUCAGGAGUUGGCUUGUAUGGUGGUGGAUUUUUGAAACAUUUACUUGGCCAGAAUAUAUUGUAUAAAGCACUGUUAUAGUUCACAUGUUUCUGUGUGCCUUGGCGUAGGACCACUUGUAUGAGUGGUUGAGAAUGUGUCUGCUACUAAGAAAAACAUAAAUUAGUAAUGGACAAAUUUCGUAGGUAAACAACAAGUAAGCAAUUUAACAAUCAAGUUGGUAACUAAUUUCAAUUUUUUUUUUAUAGAGCCAUGAAAAAUGAACUAACAUAAUGGUUCAUUUGUUUCCCCUUAUUCUUUUCUAUUUUAGACUAAGAAGGGAUUCAGGCUGUAAUGACCUCAAAAUGCCUGUAAUAGUGGUGUUGUCUUUUACCCUACUGGAUGAAAGAUAUAUAAAGAAUGUCAUAAUGGAAAAAAGUAGAAGAUAUUUUAAUGUAAGCUCAACAACAAAGACAGAGCAAUCUUUGUAGCCACACAAUAUUGGUUGGUCCCCAAAGUAAAAAUCUUGGAAGAUUGAUGGAUUUGUGAUAUGCCAAGUGUGAAUGGAGAGUAAUCUUGACAUCCAAUGAGAUCAUAGAUAUAGAUAUCACUAGAUAAGGACUCUUCCCUAUCUUACUUACUAUAUAUAGUGAAGUUUCAAUAACUUCAGCUCAUCACAACUAACUUUUACAUAUCAAACUAGCAACUCCCUCAUUUUCCUCUCUUUAAAAACCAUGGCAGCUGCUACAAUGGCUCUUUCUUCUCCUUCUUUUGCCGGACAGGCAGUGAAACUCUCACCCUCUGCCUCAGAAAUCUCUGGAAAUGGAAGGAUCACCAUGAGAAAGGCUGUUGCCAAGUCUGCCCCAUCUAGCAGUCCAUGGUAUGGCCCUGACCGUGUUAAGUACUUGGGCCCAUUCUCUGGUGAGUCCCCAAGCUACUUGACUGGUGAAUUCCCUGGUGACUACGGCUGGGAUACCGCUGGACUCUCAGCAGACCCUGAAACCUUUGCCAAGAACCGUGAACUCGAGGUGAUCCACUGCAGAUGGGCUAUGCUUGGUGCUCUUGGAUGUGUCUUCCCUGAGCUAUUGGCCCGUAACGGUGUCAAGUUCGGUGAGGCUGUGUGGUUCAAGGCCGGAUCCCAGAUCUUCAGCGAGGGAGGACUUGACUACUUGGGCAACCCAAGCUUGGUCCAUGCACAGAGCAUCUUAGCCAUCUGGGCUUGCCAAGUUGUCUUGAUGGGAGCCGUUGAAGGUUACCGUAUUGCUGGUGGACCUCUUGGUGAGGUUGUCGACCCACUCUACCCCGGUGGCAGCUUCGACCCAUUAGGCCUUGCUGAAGACCCCGAGGCAUUUGCUGAGCUCAAGGUAAAGGAGAUUAAGAACGGCAGACUUGCUAUGUUCUCUAUGUUCGGAUUCUUUGUUCAGGCCAUUGUUACCGGAAAGGGUCCAUUGGAGAACCUUGCUGACCACCUUGCAGACCCCGUUAACAACAACGCUUGGGCUUUCGCCACAAACUUUGUCCCCGGAAAAUGAAUAUCAUAAUAUAUUUUUUGAAUUUUGAUUGUUUGAUGGCCCUGUAAAGUAGUUGUGACUUAAUAGAAUGGAUUUUUUUUUCAAAAUUCCUAUGAUUGUGUAGUUCUGAGUUACAUUUUCCAAAGCUAUGAAUCAAAUAUUGCCACUUUCAUACCAAAGGGGAAAUUAAAGAAAGAGAACAGAACAAAAAAGAGUGAAGAUACAUAUGAGAUGUGGUAACAAGAAAAACUUUAAAGCUGUUGUAAGCUUAAAACUUGAAUUUUUAAACCUGAGGAACUUAUGGAAUUCGAUUAAUUCUCGAGAAACAAUACUCAGAAUUAGUGUAAAGUACUAAUGUUGAAAAACAUGAUGUAUUACAUGAUUCCGCAUUGUUUCAUUUCACUACCAGAGCAUUGAAAUUUCAAAGACAAGGGAAGGAAACCAGUAUGUUUUGUAGUCUGAAUGUAUUAAGUAAUAUAUAAGUUUCCAGGUCCAUACAGUAUGUGUCCUUUACACAAAUUCAUAAGUUUCUUGUACAAUCCUCCUUCCUCAUGUGGUACUAUCUUUAGAUUAAAAGCAUCAUUGACAGAUCCUUCAAAACAAGGUACAUAAUAAUGACCAGAGCCAACGGACAUACAUAUGUAGUUAGAAGAAGACACAAGUUUAUGCAAAAUAUGACACUUUUUGACAACAAAUUCAAGUUCUACGCACUAAUAACAUAAACAAUAUUUACACAAUCAAAUUUCUAAGUAAGUAAUUAAAGGCAAAUCACUUGAUAACAUUAAUCUGUAGUCUGGUAAAAAAUGUGAAUUGACCUACUAUCACAUGUUAAAGUUUACUAAUGUAAUUUCUUUUUCCCUUAACACAGCCAAAAUUGUGAUGCUGAUGAAUUCCAACAAAUUAAAAUCUUUGCUCAUAUUCUUCGGAACAAGCUCUUUCCAAGUCUCAGCAUUGCUCAUGUAGUAUUGUGAAUGAGCAUAAUACAAUAUAACCUGUUUGGCUAACAUAAACAACUUUGCUAAUUAGGGUUUAAUAUAAUAAAGUUUCAAUCACAUUGCUUUCUGAACAUAAAGAUGCAUUAUUAAGUUCCCAAAAUAUAUGAAUCAAGUAGUAAUUAGUUUCAACUUCUCCUCAAAUUUCCUAAACCAUAACUCUACAUUGAAUGAUAGUAUAGUGGUGGUAUAUUUUACCCUGCAGGAGAAAAUAUCUACAAAAAUGGCAAGUGGAUAAUGAUAGGGAUAUCAUAUUGUAAGCUCAACAAAUCACAGGGCAGAUUCCAAUCCUUGUGGCAACAUAUGAGAGGACAAUAUUGGAUGUAUCCCUUGUUCGGAAAAUUGAUGGAUUGGAGAUUGCUAAAUGUGCAUACUUGCUACAAGUAGGAUCUCGAUAGCCAAUGAGAUCAUAGAUAUAGAUAUCACGAGAUAAGGACUCUUCCCCUCUUUCUUAAUCCCUAUAUAUGGUGAAUUAAUUCCCUUGUAACUUCAUCUCAUCACAGCCUUCAACAAUAUUUAAUACCAUAAAAUACUCAACACUUUUCUCUUAAUAUAAAUCAUGGCAGCUGCUACAAUGGCUCUUUCUUCCCCUUCAUUUGCUGGACAGGCAGUCAAACUCUCACCAUCUGCCUCAGAAAUUUCUGGAAAUGGAAGAAUCACUAUGAGAAAGGCUGUCGCCAAGUCUGCCCCAUCUAGCAGCCCAUGGUAUGGCCCUGACCGUGUUAAGUACUUGGGACCAUUCUCUGGUGAGUCACCAAGCUACUUGACUGGCGAAUUCCCUGGUGACUAUGGAUGGGAUACCGCUGGACUUUCAGCUGACCCCGAGACCUUUGCCAAGAACCGUGAACUUGAGGUGAUCCACUGCAGAUGGGCUAUGCUUGGUGCUCUUGGAUGUGUCUUCCCUGAGCUCUUGGCCCGUAAUGGUGUCAAAUUUGGUGAAGCUGUGUGGUUCAAGGCCGGUUCCCAGAUUUUCAGCGAGGGUGGACUUGACUACUUGGGCAACCCAAGCUUGGUCCAUGCACAAAGCAUCUUGGCCAUCUGGGCUUGUCAAGUUGUACUGAUGGGAGCUGUUGAGGGUUACCGUAUUGCUGGUGGACCUCUUGGUGAGGUUGUCGACCCACUCUACCCAGGUGGCAGCUUCGACCCAUUAGGCCUUGCUGAAGACCCGGAGGCAUUUGCUGAGCUCAAGGUAAAGGAGAUUAAGAACGGCAGACUUGCUAUGUUCUCUAUGUUUGGAUUCUUUGUUCAAGCCAUUGUUACCGGAAAGGGUCCAUUGGAGAAUCUUGCUGACCACCUUGCAGAUCCAGUUAACAACAAUGCAUGGGCCUUUGCCACAAACUUUGUUCCCGGCAAAUGAAUAUCAUAAAAUGUUCUCUAGAUAUUAUUGUUUGAUGGCUUUGUAAAGUUUUAGUUGUGAGUUUACUUGACAAUAGAAUGAUUUUUUCUUAGUCCUGAAUUUCAUUUGAUGAAUGAAAUACUGCAAAAUUCAUAUUGAAGGGGAAAAUUGAUGACGAAGCAAAAUUAACAAGACCAGAGUUAAAUUUGAGGUGUGGUAAAAGCUUAAACCUGAAUAUACAGACCAGAGGAACUUAUGGAAUUCAAUUAAUUCUCAAGAAGCAAUACUCCAACUUAGACAUUGAACGACAUGCUGUUUAUUUACUUCCAUGAUUCUUUAUUUUUCUGUCAAGAAGUGAAAGAGAAAUUAAGGGAAAACCAAUGGACAGUAUGUUUUAUAAUCUGAACGUAGCGAGUAAUAUAUGAGUUUCCGGGUCAUUACACUUAUGUGUCCACAUCCAUGAAGUUCUUGUAUUUUCCUCCUUCCUUACAUGGCACAUCAUAGCAAUGACCAGAGCCAAAGGGACAUAAUAAGCAGAAGAUACAAGUUAAAUAUACAUGCAUGGCACUUAUUAGAGAGGAAAUCAAGUUCUCGCUGACAUUGUGAAAAAUGCUUAUACAAUCAUAUCAUUAUUAACAGGGCAGAGGUAGACUUCAGCGAUGAAUGGAAUGUCCCACAUCGAUGAAUGAAUGACCUCUUUAUAAGUGUUGAACAAUUCUCUACCCUUUGAGAUAACUUUUGAGGUUCAGUUAGUCACAAGAUUCAUUUCCACCCGGUUUGACAAAACCAAGUAGCUGGUCCAACGUCAACACAUGCAUAUGUGUUAAGAAAUUUAUUAAAUAUGUGGAACUACUAAAUUUAGAAUCGAUUAGAAUUUAAGGUCGCCUUUUAGAUUUCAGAACCCAUGAAGUUCAAAUCUUGAUCCGUGUUUGCUUAUUAGGUACUAGUCUUAGGGAACGUGCGCUGCACGUUUGUCCUUUAUUGUUAAAUUUCUAUAUACUAAAAUAUUGAGUUAUAAAAAAGGAAAUUUUGAAAUUAGCAAUAGUAGUUUUACUAUUUAUAUUUUGUUCACUAAAUAAUUAAAAAAAAAUAUUAUGAAUACUUAAGCAUUUUUGUUAUUCUUCAUUUGAAGUUUCUCUUUCUCUUUUCUUCUCAUACUAGUUUCUGAGGACGUGCUUCGCACGUAUGUUUCAUGUAAAUUUUUAUAGAUAUGUUAGAAUGACUAAAGUUUCAUGAAAAUAUAUAUGUAAAUUGUAGAGAAUAAUAAAAUGUAACAAAUACAAAAUAAGAAAGACUUACGCAAUAAAACAUUCAUAAAAAACUAAAUUAAAAAGUUUAAUGAAAAAAAAAAAAGACAAAAAGAAACAGAUCUAAGGAAAAAUAUAAUGUAUACAUUAUUCUUAUAAGACUGAUGUAUGCAUAGAUGAAAAAAUAAGUACAUAACUCUCUGAGUUCUUAUCAACUCCUUCCAUAUCCUAUCAAAAUUCUAGAGGCUUCUUCAUCUACUUUAACUAUAGAAUAAACAUGUAGCCUAAUAAUCUUGGUAGGAGUUUCAUGAGAUAAAGAAGUUGAAUUUAUAUAGAUAGAAUAGAAGGAAUAUCAAAAGAAAUCUUAAAGUUUUAGUUUAAAUAUUUAGAUGUUAUGAAUAUGAAAAGAUGGGAGUUAUGAAUAUUAAGAGUAUAAAAGUUGAAUAAGUAAUUAACAAAUAAUAAUAAAUAAAUGAAGAAUAUGAAAAAGAAAAUUAAAAUUAGCAAACCAUGUAGAAAGAACAACUAAAGUUCUUAUCACGUAAUAAGCGUUAAUGAAUUUAAAUUUGUGAAGAUAGAGUCGUUCUUUAAUAAUAGUCAAGAGGACAGUAUCAAUGUGUGUCUCCAUUUUGCAGAUUUGCAAUCUUUAAAUUAUUAAAUUUCGUUAUUUAUCAUUAAGGAUAACACUUUAUCCAUAUAAAUUAUAUUAUUCAUGUUAAGGAAAAAAUUAUGAGAAGAGGAAAAAUAUAGCAAUUUAGAUAGAGAUCAUUUUAAAAAAAAAUUAGAAUUAUUAUAUAUAUAGAUUAUAAAUCAUAAAUAUUAAUUAAUUAGAUAUUUAAUUAGAAAUUAAUCUUAAGAAGUCUAAAAGUCAUUAACAUUUUAAUUAAAUUUAUACAAUCAAAUAUUUAAAUAGUUUAUAACAAUUUAAUUUAUAGAAGGGGUAAAAUCGUAAUUCAACUUUUAACUUUUUUUGUUCAUGCUUUUAGUAAUAUAUGAUUGAAUUAUGCACAUAACAUAAAUCUUUAUAAAUUGAUUCUUAAAGCAUAUUGAAAUUUUAAUUCUGAAAGUGUUCUUAGAAUAAUGGAGAGAAUCUUCAUAUUCAACUUUCAUUUUUACAAAAUUAUGAUUAUGAGUAAUAAUUAAUAUUUAAUAAUCACGCGAAAGAAUAACUUAACUAUUUAUGGGUCCAACCAAUAAUCUGGAAAUUGAGUUUGCAAUUUUUCAGUCAUAAUUAAAAUUUUACAUCAACAAUAAUAGCUUCUCAUCACAGUAAAUAGAAGUAUGAUGCAAACAAUAUAUAAGUUCUAAAAGACAUCAUCAAUUUGGUACAUAUGCAAAUGAUAUAAACACUAAUUGAUAUAUUACGAAUACACCUGCAGCCAUCAUCAUAAUUAUUAUGUUAAUUAUUUUAAUUAUUCCAUCACAUAUGCAUCUUCUUUUUAACCUUAAAGAAAUAUUAUCAUAUGAUUUAUGAAGAGAAAAGAAUAAUACUCUCUUUUUUUAUAAAAUUUCCCUUUGAAUAAUUAAUAUAAAUGGAGCAACACAAACUUUUCAAAAUGACUUAUUCUAGAUAUAUGGUCAAUUUGAAGAAUGAAUGUUUCCACAAACAAAUAAUAAACUAAUAAGAUCAAUAGAUUAUACAAUAUAAACGAAAAGUCAAAUAAAAAAACAUUUAAAAAAAUCAUAUGUGAUUUUUUUCAUUUAGUUAUUCCUCUCAUUACUAAUAAAUAAUAAUCUCAAAAAUAUAUUUAAACUAAAGUAAAACACUCUAUAGAUAGUCGCAAAUAAAAAUUAACUGAUUAAUCUUUCAUUAUGAAUUUCAUCAAUGAUUAAGAAAUAUAGGAGAACAUGAAUUGUAUAUAACUAAUUUUCAUAUAGGACACAAGAUAUUCCACUAGAAAACAAAAUUAUAAGAAAGUAUAUCGAUCAAAAUAUUAAAAAAGGAUGUACAAAAUACUUAAGCUUGACAAGAAUGAGUGGAUAAAAACAAAAGGAAAUUAUUGCAAUACAAUAUAAUGAGCAAGAUUAAUUUUUUUGCUUGAUAAUCUCUCAUCCUCCUCUUAUCACUUACAUAAAGACCAUGCUAGGUAUUUUAUAGCUGUAGGUACGAUGACUUUUGAGUAGAUAAAAUUAAUUUCAUUAAAUUAGUUCGAUGAUUUUAGUCCAUAUCAAAUUUAUGUAAAGGAAAAACUCUUCAAAUACUCUUGAUUUUUACAACAAAAGAGAAAUUAAUUAUUAAUGUGAAUUUGAUUCAUGCACUGAUUUAAAUAAGUUAUUUAUUAAAUAUUUAAUUAUAUUUUAUAUUAUUUGUUUUAAUUAUUUUAUAUUAUUAUUUGUUUUAAUUAUUUUAAUAUAAGGGUAAAAUGGUAAUUCAACUUUGAGCUUUGAAUCUUCCCACUUAUAAUAAUAUGAUUUACAAGUUAAUCAUAUCAAUAUCAUAUCAUAUAUUAUUAUAAGUGGAAGAUUUUAUCUUCAAAGUUGAAUUAUAGUUUUGUCCUUAUUAUUAACUAGUUCUGGAAAUGUGUCUUGCACGUUUGACCUCUGUUACUGUUACAAUUUAUAUAGACCCAAGAUAUAAAAUUGCUCGACAUUGUCUGACGUACUCCUAUAUGUCUUUUUGUGCAUAUAAAAUAAAUUUUUUUAGUGUUUACUUUUUGCCUAGAACUUAAACAUAAACAUUUUCUUUGGUGAAUGAUGAACAACUUGUAAGGCUAGAACUAAUUCCUAAGGCUGAAAUUUCUUGGAUAUAAAUACUCCAACAAUCAUUAAAAAUAAAAAAAAUUGAAUGAAGGACACAAACCAAUAAGAAAAAUAGUGACUAAUAAAAAAAUAUUACAAGAACAAAUAGAUUAUAUGUUUCUCUAACAACCAUGAAAAUAAAAAAUGAACGAAGGCACAAAUCAAUAAGAAAAAUAGUGACCAAUAAAAAAUACUCCUUACAGAAGAACUAUUAGAUGAUGAAAACAAAGUGUGGUGGAUUAAUAUUUUUAUCCAAUUCAUAAAGGGAGAAAUUAAGUACAUGAAAGGUUUGUGCAUGAAUGUGUUUAAUGGUAGAAGCUACAAAGUUUAAACAAUCAAAUUCAUUAAGAAAUGGAAAAUGAUAAGUUGUAACAUCUAAUCAUAUAUUUGGUCUAGUUUAAUUAUCAUUAUUGAUUUAGUUUUAAAAAUUAGUAAAAGAUUUUUUAAUUUAAAAAAUUGGUGAAGGGCAUUUUCGUAAUCUAACUUUAAACUUAAAAUCUUUACACUUAUAAUAAUAUAUGAUAUGAUUAAAAUAUUUUUAAAACCUAAUUAAUUAAACAUCAAGUAACAAUAUUUUAGUUAUUUUUUAGAUCAUGAGUUAUUUAUUAGCAUGAAAAUUAAAUAAUUAUUAAUUAUAUUGUAUAAUAAAUUAACCAAAACAAAUAGUUACAAAUUAAAUGCAAGUGCAUAUAUGGUGAAGAAUUCAAUUACAAAUUAAUUGCAAAUGAAUGUAUGGUGAAGAAACCAAGAGUUAUUUGUAUGACUUCUUUUUUUCAGCAUGACUUUUGAGUUUCUAUAUGUCAUUAUAUAUUUAGUAACUUUCGAUUUUUCAGGUUGAAGUAAUGUUGAAUGAAAGAAAAUCUACAUAUACACGCAUAUAUUAUGUUCUACUUAUAGAUUCUAUUAUGUAUUUAUUCUUUUAUAUUUGCUCUAUUUUGUUUGCUUUUUAAAUUUAAUUUUUUGUUGUUUGUUUUAUCUUUUUCACCCCAAGUCAUGGAAUACUAUUAUACUCGUCAUAUGAUUAUUUUUAGAGUUGAAAAGUUGGAAAACACUAAUGUUAGUUUUUCUUUUUGAUAGUUACGUAUUUUAAACUAAAGUACUUAAAAACUAAAUAAAUCCUAUAAAAUUGAAUGCUCACAUACAAUUUAAAGACAUAUUUUUACUUUUCGAUCAAAUUCCUUUCUUUGGAUAUUUUUCACCAAAAGUUAGUAAUAAUAAGAAAAUGUAUGACCCCCCCCCCCCCACCCAAAAAAAAAAAAAAUUUGAACAACUUCAACAGUGGACUUUUGGAACACAAAAUCUCUUCCUUUAUUUGAAAUAUAGUAUUUAAUAAUAUUCAUGAAGUUUUAAAAAAAUAAAUACAUUGAUAUGGAGUACCUUCAAAAUUGGAUUACAUUUCAAAAACUAAUUAAUUUAUAAUGACGUAACAAAGCCUAUUCAGAUUCUUGAUGUUAUUGUGUCUUUAUGCUAUUAAACUUUAAUUCAAAUUACACUUGAACGUGUAAUUGCAUGAAUUACCAUAGAUAAUUUUUAUUAUGAGAUGAUAUAUUGUAGUUGAAUUUGUAUUUUAGAGGAUUAAUUCAUUGUUUGAAGUUCUUUGUCUAAUUUAAUGUGGCAUCGCACGAAGCACAUUGAUCUUAAUAGUUUGUCAUGUAACAUUUGACAUUAUCUAUACAUUUUAACUAAUUAUUUCUAUUAAAUUCGAUUAUGAAAGGACUCUGAAGUUUCAGGUAAAAGGUAACCUAUAUCCCUUUCAAAAGUUUAUAUAACUUAUCACACAUUUAAUCUAAUAUUAUUUUAAUAAACUAUCACUCUUAGCCUGAAAUACACGUGCAACGCACAAACUUGAAAAUUAGUCUUUUAAUAAACAUUACUUGAUAAUCUGGAGAAAAAAAAAUGAAUUUCAAUUUUUCGUCAAUUUAUUUAGUGAAAGGCUAAAGCAUAGCUAUAGUGCUGAUAGAUAAAAUCUGGAGAAAUUCCCAAUGGAUAAUGAUAAGAGAUAUGAGUGUAUUGUAAGCUCAACAAAUCAGAGGGUAGAGUUCAAUCCUUGUAGCCACACAUAGGAGGACAAUAUUGGAUGGGUCCCUUUAGUUGUAAACGUCUUGUAAAAUUGGAGAUUGCCAAGAGUGCAUUAAUUGCUACACAUGGGAUCUUGAUAUCCAAUGAGAUCAUAGAUAUAGAUAUCACUAGAUAAUUAAGACUCUUUUUCCCUCUUAAUUACUCCCUAUAUAUAUGGUGAAUUAGUUCCUUUGUAACUUCAUCUCAUCAAAACCAACUUCAACAGUAUCAUCAAACACUUACAUUUCUCUUGAUAUAAACACAAUGGCAGCUGCAACAAUGGCUCUUUCUUCCCCUUCUUUUGCUGGACAGGCGGUGAAACUCUCACCCUCUGCCUCAGAAAUCUCUGGAAAUGGAAGGAUCACUAUGAGAAAGGCUGUCGCCAAGUCAGCCCCAUCUAGCAGCCCAUGGUAUGGCCCUGACCGUGUUAAGUACUUGGGACCAUUCUCUGGUGAGUCACCAAGCUACUUGACCGGUGAAUUCCCUGGUGACUACGGCUGGGAUACCGCUGGACUUUCAGCAGACCCAGAAACCUUUGCCAAGAACCGCGAACUUGAGGUGAUCCACUGCAGAUGGGCUAUGCUUGGUGCUCUUGGCUGUGUCUUCCCUGAGCUAUUGGCUCGUAACGGCGUCAAGUUCGGUGAGGCUGUGUGGUUCAAAGCUGGAUCCCAAAUCUUCAGUGAGGGUGGACUUGACUACUUGGGCAACCCAAGCUUGGUCCAUGCACAAAGCAUCUUGGCCAUCUGGGCUUGCCAAGUUGUACUCAUGGGAGCCGUUGAAGGUUACCGUAUUGCUGGUGGCCCUCUUGGUGAGGUUGUCGACCCACUCUACCCUGGUGGCAGCUUCGACCCACUGGGUCUUGCUGAAGACCCAGAGGCAUUUGCUGAGCUCAAGGUAAAGGAGAUCAAGAACGGUAGACUUGCCAUGUUCUCUAUGUUCGGAUUCUUCGUUCAAGCUAUUGUUACCGGAAAGGGUCCAUUGGAGAACCUUGCUGACCACCUUGCAGACCCCGUUAACAACAACGCUUGGGCUUUUGCCACAAACUUUGUCCCCGGAAAAUGAAACUUUUUAAACAAUCUUAAUAUUCCUUGUAAAGUAGUAGUGAGUUACUUGACAAUAGAAUGGAUUGUUUUUCUUUAAUAUUUCAAUGUUUGUGUAGUACUGAGUAACAUCUUACUAAGCUAUGAAUCAAAUGUUGCCACUUUCAUAACAAAGGAUAAUCAAAGAAAGAGAACAGAGCAAAAAAGACAGAAGAUACAUAUAUAUGAGAUAUGGUAACUAGAAAAACUCUAAAGCUGUGACAGGCUUACAACAUCGAAUUUUCAGACCAGAAGAACUUAGGGAAUUCAAUCAACUCUCAAGAAGCAAUACUCAAAAUUAGAGCAAAGUAUUAAUUUUGAAAAAUAAGAUGUUAUUACAUCAUUCAUUAAUUUUGUCGAGAGGUUAAAGAGGAAAUAGAGGACGUUAUAUCAUUUCACGACUAGAACAUUAACAGUUCAAUAAUAAGGGAAGAAAGCCAAUAUGUUUUUUAGUCUGAAAUGUAGUUAUUAGAAACAUAUAAGUUUCCAGGUCCUUAUAUUAUGUGCCUUUAAUUUGGAUAGCAUCUUUGAACAGAUUCGUAAAUCUCUUAUACAUCCUCCUUUCUCACAUAUCUGACAAAUCCUUUGACAUAGUAAUGACCAGAGCCAAAGGACACACUUAUAUAGUUAGCAGAAGACACAAGUAAUGCUAUAUAUGACACUUACUGGCAACAAAUUCUAAGUUGUAUGCACUAAUAACGUAAGCAAUAUUUACACAAUCAAGUUACUUAGUAAGUUACUAAAGGUAAAUCCCUUGAUAAACAUUAAUUGGUAUUCUGGUUAAAAAUAGUAACUGAUCUACUAUCACAUGUUAAAAUUUAUGGAUAGUGUAAAAACAUCUUUACACUGUUAGUAAAUUCUAUUUCUCUUAACACAGAAAAAAUUGUGAUACUGAUGAAUAUCAACAAAUUAAAAUCUGUGUUCAUGUCCUUCAGAACAAGCACUUUCCAAGUCUCAGCAUCUGUUGCUCAUGUAGUGGUUAAGUACUAAGCUGCGUUGAAUCUCUACGCAUAAAUUAACAGUAUCUUGAAUGAGCAUAUGAAAAUAUAACAUGCGUGGCUAACAUAAACAACUUUGUCAAUUGAGGUCUAAUAUAUUAAUAAAGUUUCAAUUGCAUUGCUUCCCAAACAUAAACAUGCAUUAUUGAUCUCCCACAAUUUAUGAAUUUAAUUGUGGCAUCUUUUACCAUGAAGGUAGACAAAUUCCAAGUGGAUAAUGAUAUGGACAUCAUAUUGUGAGCUCAACAUUGAAUGAGCUGUAGUGCUGAUAGAUGAAAUCUGGAGAAAUUUCAAAUGGAUAAUGACAAAGAUAUCAGUAGUGUAAACUCAACAAAUCAGAGGGCAGAGUUCAAUCUUUACAGCCACACAAAGGAGGGCAAUAUUGGAUGGGCCCCUUAAGUAAUAAACAUCAUGCAGAUUGGAGAUUGCCAAGUGCAUUAAUCGCUACACAUGGGAUCUUGAUACCCAAUGAGAUUAUAGAUAUAGAUAUCACUAGAUAAUUACGGCUCUUUCCCUCUUUCUUAAUCCCUAUAUAUGGUGAAUUAAUUCCCUUGUAACUUCAUCUCAUCACAGCCUUCAACAAUAUUUAAUACCAUAAAAUACUCAACACUUUUCUCUUAAUAUAAAUCAUGGCAGCUGCUGCAAUGGCUCUUUCUUCCCCUUCAUUUGCUGGACAGGCAGUCAAACUCUCACCAUCUGCCUCAGAAAAUUCUGGAAAUGGAAGGAUCACUAUGAGAAAGGCUGUCGCCAAGUCUGCCCCAUCUAGCAGCCCAUGGUAUGGCCCUGACCGUGUUAAGUACUUGGGACCAUUCUCUGGUGAGUCCCCAAGCUACUUGACUGGCGAAUUCCCUGGUGACUACGGCUGGGAUACCGCUGGACUUUCAGCUGACCCUGAGACCUUUGCCAAGAACCGUGAACUUGAGGUGAUCCACUGCAGAUGGGCUAUGCUUGGUGCUCUUGGAUGUGUCUUUCCUGAGCUCUUGGCCCGCAACGGUGUAAAGUUUGGUGAGGCUGUGUGGUUCAAGGCCGGAUCCCAGAUCUUCAGCGAGGGUGGACUUGACUACUUGGGCAACCCAAGCUUGGUCCAUGCACAAAGCAUCUUGGCCAUCUGGGCUUGUCAAGUUGUGUUGAUGGGAGCCGUUGAAGGUUACCGCAUUGCUGGUGGACCUCUUGGUGAGGUUGUCGACCCACUCUACCCCGGUGGCAGCUUCGACCCAUUAGGCCUUGCUGAAGACCCUGAGGCAUUUGCCGAGCUCAAGGUAAAGGAGAUUAAGAACGGCAGACUUGCUAUGUUCUCGAUGUUUGGAUUCUUCGUUCAAGCCAUUGUUACUGGAAAGGGUCCAUUGGAAAACCUUGCUGACCACCUUGCAGACCCCGUUAACAACAACGCUUGGGCUUUCGCCACAAACUUUGUUCCCGGAAAAUGAAAAUCUUAAACAUUCUUAAAAUUUGAUUGUUUGAUGGCCUUGUAAAGUAGUUGUCAGUAAUUACUUGACAUUAGAAUGGAUUAUUUUUUUUCAAUAUUCAAAAUUUCCAAUGAUUGUGUAAUCCUGAGUUACAUUUUUCAAAGCCACGAAUAAAAAAUAUUGCCACUUUUAUACCAAAGGGUAGAAGAAAGAGACCAAAGAAAAAAUAAUUGAGAAUUAAGAUGUCGUAACUAGAAAAACUAUAUGCUGUUAUAAGAUUAAAACUUGAAUUAUGGAAUUCAAUUAAUUCUGGAUAAGCAAUACUCAAAAUUAGUGUAAAGUACUAAUGUUGAACACCAUGACGUUAUUACAUGAUUCCUUAUUUUUCUAUCGAGAAGCGAAAGAGGAAAUAAGAAGACAUUGUUUCAUUUCAAUGCUAAGUGAAAACCAAUGUGUUUAACAUAUGACUUUACAGGUCCUUGCAUUAUAUGUCCUGUGAAAAAAUUCAUAAAUUUCUUGAAAAAUCAUCCUUCAUAACAUUGAUACCAUCUUUAGAUUAAAAGAUCUUUCCAAACAAGGCGCAUAGUAAUGACCAUAGCCAAAGCACAUACUUGUAUAGUUAGUUCGCAGAAGAGACAACAUGACACUUAUUGGCAACAAAUUUAAGCUAUGCACUGGUAAUAUAAAAAUUAUAUACAAUCAGUUUUACUUAUAAAGUAAUAUAUGUAAAUCCGUUGAUAACCAUUACUCCAAUGGUAGUCUCGUAAAAAUAGGGAAUUGACUUACUAUCACAUGUUAAAUUUUAUGGAUACGGCAAAAACAUCUUUAUACUGUCAGUGUAUAUAACUUAAAUCUACAAUUAGUAAAAAUAUAUUGUGGUGCUGAUGAAUUCUAACAAAUUAACGUGUUUGUUCAUGUUCUUCUGAAUAAGCUCUUUCAGAGUUUCACCAUUGCUCAUGUAGCAGUUAAGUACUGGAACUAAGCCGCAUUAAAUCUGUAAACAUGAAUUAACAAUGUCUUGAAUGAGCAUAAAACAAGAUAGCAUGUGUUGCUGACAUAAACAACUUUGUCAAUUGGGGUCUAAUAUGUUAAUAAAGUUUCAAUCACAUUGUUUUCCAAACAUAAACAUGCAUUAUUAAUUUCCCACAAUUUAUGCAUCAAGGUGGUAAUAAAUUUAAACUUCUCCUCGAAUUUCCUAAACCAUAGUUCUACAUCUUUUACCCUGCAGGUAGACAAAAUCUAUAGAAAUGGCAAGUGGAUAAUGAUAGGGAUAUCAUAUUGUAAGCUCAAUAUAUCACAGGGUGGAUUUCAAUCCUUGUGGCAAUAUAUGAGAGGACAAUACUGAAUGUGUCCCUUCUUGGAAAAUUAAUGAGUUGUAGAUUCAAGUUGCUACAAUAUAUGGGAUCUUGAUAUCCAAUGAGAUCAUAUGUAUAGAUAUCACUGGAUAAGAGGAUUCUCUCUCUCUAAUUACCUCCUAUAUAUUCUGAACCCCAACUACUUCAGCUUCAUCACAACCAACUUUGACAUUUCAAACACUCAUCACUUUUCUCUUGUUAUAAACCAUGGCAGCUUCUACAAUGGCUCUUUCUUCCCCUUCUUUUGUUGGGCAGGCAGUGAAACUCUCACCCUCUGCCUCAGAAAUCUCUGGAAAUGGAAGGAUCACUAUGAGAAAGGCUGUUGCCAAGUCUGCCCCGUCUAGCAGCCCAUGGUAUGGACCAGACCGUGUUAAGUACUUAGGCCCAUUCUCUGGUGAGUCCCCAAGCUACUUGACCGGUGAAUUCCCUGGUGACUACGGCUGGGAUACCGCUGGACUUUCAGCUGACCCUGAAACUUUUGCCAAGAACCGUGAACUUGAGGUGAUCCACUGCAGAUGGGCUAUGCUUGGUGCUCUUGGAUGUGUCUUCCCUGAGCUAUUGGCCCGUAAUGGUGUCAAGUUCGGUGAGGCUGUGUGGUUCAAGGCUGGAUCCCAGAUCUUCAGCGAGGGUGGACUUGAUUACUUGGGCAACCCAAGCUUGGUCCAUGCACAAAGCAUCUUGGCCAUCUGGGCUUGUCAAGUUGUGUUGAUGGGAGCCGUUGAGGGAUACCGCAUUGCUGGUGGACCUCUUGGUGAGGUUGUCGACCCACUCUACCCCGGUGGCAGCUUCGACCCAUUAGGCCUUGCUGAAGACCCGGAGGCAUUUGCUGAGCUUAAGGUUAAGGAGAUCAAGAACGGCAGACUUGCUAUGUUCUCUAUGUUUGGGUUCUUUGUUCAGGCCAUUGUUACCGGAAAGGGUCCAUUGGAGAACCUCGCUGACCACCUUGCGGAUCCAGUUAAUAACAAUGCCUGGGCCUUUGCCACAAACUUUGUUCCUGGAAAAUGAAUAUCAUAAAUUGAUGGCCUUGUAAAGUUGUAAUUGUGAGUUUACUAGACAAUAUAAUGGAUUUUUCUUAUAUUCCAACUAUGGUGUAGUAUAUAAUUCCAUUUUCCAAUUGCAUGAAUGAAAUACUGCAAGAUUCAUAUCAAAGGGGGAAAAAAGAUGACUAAGCAAAAACAAAAAAGAAAAACCAAUAUACAUUUGGAAUGUGGUAAAAGCUUAAAUCUUGAAUAUACAGACACAGGAACUUAAGGAAUUCAAUUUAUCCUCAAGAAUCAAUAAUAGUCUUAACUUAAUGCCAAGAAUAACAUUGAACAACAUGAUGUUAUUGACAUGAUUCCUAAUUUUUCUAUCUGAGAAGUGAGAUGAUUUAAGAGUACAUAACAAUUUUUCACUUCUACAUCAUUGACAUUUCAUUGAUGAGAGAAAACCAAUGCUGUGUGUUAUGUAAUCUGAACGUAGCAAGUAAAAGCAUCUAUGCAACUGCUUAUAUAACAGAGGCAGGUAUCCUCCAAAGAUGGCAUAUAGUAACGAGUAACGACCAGAGCCAAAAUUAAGGAAAUAGUAAGCAGAAGAUACAAGAAACUAAGAUAUACAUGACACUUAUUAUAAAGGAAAAUAAGUUCUAAGCAUUGACAUUGUAAAAAUGCUAAUGCUCAUGUCACUUAUUAACAAGGGCAGGGGUAAGCUUCAUCAUGCAUAUUUGACAGAACCAAUUAAGUAGUUUUGGUUCAAACAAAUAUAUAUAAGUGUUAAGAAACAAACAAAUUAAAUUGAGGAAUUCAUUUACUAGUAACUAAAUGAAACAUAUACAGAAUGUUCUAUGACUAUAAAUGCCUCUUCAUGACCAUAAGAUUUUUAAAAAUCCAUGCAUGGACCUUGGUUGAAAGAGAAUAUGAUAUUCUGCAUUGCCUUAAUGUCGCCAAAUGCUAUAGUGACUCUUGGAUGCAAUGACAUUAUAUCAAAGCUGCUAAAUGUUUUUACGGAAAAUCUUUUGUCAUUGAAUGUCUCUUUUGUUGUAGUGAUAUGUGUUAAAGAAAUUCAUCAACACAAAUUAAAUUUAGAAUCUGUUUAUCAGAAUCCAUAAAGUUCAAAUCUUGAUCCACAUUUGCUUAUGAAGUAAAUAGAGGUUAAACAUGAAUUGAUAAUAUGAUAAAAAUGAGUUUCAGCUUUUCCUCAAUUUAUUUAGUGAAGGCUUAACCAUAGUUCUACAUUGAAUAAGCUUUAGUGCUGAUAGAUAAAAUUUGGAUAAAUUCCAAAUGGAUAAUGAUAAGAGAUAUCAGUGUAUUGUAAGCUCAACAAAUCAGAGGGUAGAGUUCAAUCCUUGUAUCCACACAUAGGAGGACAGUAUUGGAUGGGUCCCUUCAGUAAACAUCUUAAAAAAUUAGAAGGAUUAGAGAUUGUCAAGUUGCAUUCAUUGCUACACUUAGGAUCUUGAUAUCCAAUGAGAUCAUAGAUAUAGAUAUCAUUAGAUAAUUUGGACUCUUUCCCUCUUAAUUACUCCCUAUAUAUAUGGUGAAUUAAUUCCUUGUAACUUCAUCUCAUUACAGCCAACUUCAACAAUAUCUCAUACCAUCAAACACUUACAUUUCUCUUGAUAUAAACACCAUGGCAGCUGCUACAAUGGCUCUUUCUUCCCCUUCUUUUGCUGGACAAGCAGUGAAACUCUUACCAUCUGCCUCAGAAAUCACAGGAAAUGGAAGGAUCACUAUGAGAAAGGCUGUCGCAAAGUCAGCCCCAUCUAGCAGCCCAUGGUAUGGCCCUGACCGUGUUAAGUACUUGGGUCCAUUCUCUGGUGAGUCCCCUAGCUACUUGAAUGGUGAAUUCCCUGGUGACUACGGGUGGGACACCGCUGGACUUUCAGCAGAUCCAGAAACCUUUGCCAAGAACCGUGAACUCGAGGUGAUCCACUGCAGAUGGGCUAUGCUUGGUGCUCUUGGAUGUGUCUUCCCUGAGCUCUUGGCCCGUAAUGGUGUCAAGUUUGGUGAGGCUGUCUGGUUCAAGGCUGGAUCUCAAAUCUUCAGUGAGGGUGGACUUGACUACUUGGGCAACCCAAGCUUGGUCCAUGCACAGAGCAUCUUGGCCAUCUGGGCUUGCCAAGUUGUACUCAUGGGAGCCGUUGAAGGUUACCGUAUUGCUGGUGGACCUCUUGGUGAGGUUGUAGACCCACUCUACCCCGGUGGAAGCUUCGACCCAUUAGGCCUUGCUGAAGACCCUGAGGCAUUUGCUGAGCUCAAGGUAAAGGAGAUUAAGAACGGUAGACUUGCUAUGUUCUCUAUGUUUGGAUUCUUUGUUCAAGCCAUUGUUACUGGAAAGGGACCAUUGGAGAACCUUGCUGAUCACCUUGCAGACCCAGUAAACAACAACGCCUGGUCCUACGCCACAAACUUUGUCCCCGGAAAAUAAAAAUCUUAAAACAUUCUCAAGUUUCUGAUCAUUUGUUGACCAUGUAAAGUUGUAAUUUGUGAGUUAACUUGAACAAUAGAAUUGAUUUUUCUUACAUCUUAUUCCUGUUAUGGUAUAGUCUUGAAUUUCAUUUUCCAAUGGCAUGAAUGAGAUGCUGCAAGUUUCAUAUCAAAGGGGAAAAACAGGUGACUGUUCAAAAAAAAUUAUACAUUUGGUAUGUGGUAAAAGCUUAAAAGUUGAAUAUAGAGACCAGUAGAGGAACUUAUGGAAUGAUUCAGUUCUCAAGAAGCAAUACUCUUAACUUAGUGCCGACAGUAGCAUGAUGAUUCCUUUAUUUUUAAGUUGAGAAGUGAGAUGAAUUAAGAGGACAUACGUUUAUUUCACUACUACGUACGCAGUGACAUUUCAAUGAUAAGGGAAAACUAAUGUAUAUGUUUUGUCUUCAGAAUCAGCAAGUACUCUCUCUGUUUCAAUUUAAUCCGUCUUACUUUCAUUUUUUACAAUACCUUGCUUCAACUUUUCACUUAACAUGUUUAAGACCACAAGAUUAAAUAACGU